UUCUUCUUCUUCUUCUUCCUUCUUCUCGUAAACCAAACCAACUCUGCCAAUGAAGCAGAAAAAUCAACUUUGCAUAAUUUUCCAUUCUUUUAAAUGAAAACACCACCUUCCUCCUCCGUGCCCCUCUGUCUCGUCGUCGCCGCCCUGCUUAUACUCUCUCUGCCACGCUCUUCUCAUGGCCUCGGUUCCGGCGCUACCCUUGCCGUCUCUGACGCCUCCGCCACCGUGUGCGCCGUCGUGGCAGGCGAGUCCAUUCGCCGCAUUCAGUGUUACCGUCAGGGACAGAGUGUCUCCAUCAUUCCCAACGUUAGUUUUUCAAUGAUUUCGGGUGGGAGGAACUACUUCUGUGGUCUAAGGUCAAGUAACUCAGAUUUACUUUGUUGGAACACAAGCUCUUCCUUCGAAAGGAGAAGGCUUUACAACGAUAGUUCUGUUCCAUUGGAGAAUCUGGCCGUUGGGGAUACCCACGUUUGCGCCACCGAGGUGGGUGCUGGCACGGUCAAGUGCUGGAGAACCGGUGACACGUUUCAGCUUCCUUCUGUGACUGAUACAUUCUCUUCGAUCUCAUCUGGGUCUGGCUUCUCUUGUGGAAUUUUGAGGAAUAAUUCUCGGGUUCGGUGCUGGGGAGACACCAGCGUUUCGGAUUUAACGGAACGGAUUGAGAAUGCAUUUGGGAACAUGUCCAUGUUGAGUCUUGUCGCAGGUGGUUCACAUGUUUGUGGAUUGAACUCAACUGGGUUUGUGGCAUGUGGCGGAAAUAACGAUUCUGGACAACUUGAUUUUCCUCAAGGUGGGGCUUUUGAGUAUUCUGCGGUGGCGCUUGGAGCCGAACAUGGCUGUGCUAUCAGAGGAUUGAAUGGUUCGGUUGUGUGUUGGGGUGGCAAUGGGGGAUUCUUGGGGACUAAUGUUACGGAUGGAGUUUCCUUUGAGGUAAUUGUUUCUGGGUCUAAUUUUGUUUGUGGAUUGACAACAAACAAUUUGACAGUGGUGUGUUGGGGUCCUGGUUGGUCUAAUAGUUCGACGUUUGAGCUUCCUUUUCCACCUGUUCUUCCAGGGUCUUGUGUUCAAUCUUCCUGUGGAGAGUGUGGUUCAUAUCUUGAUUCUCAAUCUCUAUGCUCUGGCUCUGGUAACAUUUGUAAACCAAUGACUUGUAAGCCUCAAACAACAGCUCCACCGCCGCCAUCACCGUCACCGCCUCCACCAUCAAUGCCACCGCCGCCAGCAUCACCGCCACCGCCACCACCUUCGUCAUCGCGAUCAAAGACCUUGACAAACGGGUUAUUGGCAUUUGCUAUUAUCGGUUCUGUGGGAGCUUUUGCUGGAAUAUGCACUAUAGUUUAUUGCUUGUGGAGUGGUGUUUGUUUUGGGAAGAAGAAAGUUCACAAUUCUGUGCAGCCUACAAUCACAAGAGGUAGCAGUGGUUCAAACGGUGGGGGUGCUUCUAAUAAUAGCAAUUCUUCAAUAUCAUCUAUGAUUAUGCGUCAGACUUCAAUAAUAAUGAGACGCCAGAGGAGUGGAACGUCCUCAACGAAGCACCCAGACAGGGCUGAGGAGUUCACCCUGGCCGAGCUUGUGGCAGCCACCGACAAUUUCUCAGCAGAAAACAAGAUCGGAGCUGGAAGCUUUGGUGUUGUGUACAAAGGCAAACUCGCGGAUGGACGCGAGGUGGCAAUCAAGAGGGGUGAAACUGGUUCCAAGAUGAAGAAGUUUCAAGAGAAGGAAAGUGCAUUCGAGUCUGAAUUGGCCUUCUUGUCUCGUCUACACCACAAGCACUUGGUUGGACUGGUUGGAUUCUGCGAAGAGAAAGAUGAGAGGCUCUUGGUGUACGAGUACAUGAAGAAUGGGGCGCUGUAUGAUCAUUUGCAUGACAAGAACAACGUGGAGAAGGGUAACAGUGUGUUGAAUUAUUGGAAAAUAAGGAUAAAAAUUGCUUUGGAUGCUGCCCGGGGAAUAGAGUAUCUUCAUAAUUAUGCAGUUCCAUCAAUUAUUCACAGAGACAUAAAGUCUUCUAACAUUCUUAUUGAUGCUACUUGGACGGCAAGAGUAUCGGAUUUUGGAUUGUCUAUGAUGAGUCCAGAACCCGACCGUGAUCACCGACCAAUGAAGGCAGCAGGAACCGUUGGAUACAUUGAUCCGGAGUACUACGGUUUAAAUGUAUUGACGGCAAAGAGUGAUGUGUAUGGGCUGGGAGUUGUACUACUGGAACUUUUAACAGGAAAGAGAGCUAUAUUCAAGUAUGGGGAAGACGGAGGCAGCCCACUAAGUGUGGUGGACUUUGCAGUGCCUCGUAUUUUGGCUGGAGAAUUGGUGAAAAUUUUGGAUGAAAGGGUUGGACCACCCGAUGUGAAUGAGGCAGAGGCAGUGGAAUUAGUGGCCUAUACAGCUGUCCAUUGUGUGAAUUUGGAAGGGAAAGAUAGACCAACCAUGACUGACAUUGUGGUCAAUUUAGAGAGAGCUUUGGCUGUUUGUGAGAGUAGCCAUGAUACCAUUUCCAGUGGCUCUAUCUCUGUUGUUUCAGAAUGAUAAAAGGGGACAAAAUAUUGAAAAUUUUGUGAAUUCUUCUUAUUCAUUUUUCUCAAUUUCAUAUCUUCAUUCAUUGUUUCCAAUAUGCUUGUAAAGAUUUAGUGUAUAUUAUGCUGUAAAUUGUUGAUAGUAAAAGACAUAGAAAGCAGAAAAGUAUGGAGUUGCGGUCUGAUUUGAGAAGUUGAGUCUGCAGGGACAUUAUGAUAAAUCCCUUUCACGAUUCUCUUUGAAAUGUCUUCGUUGACUUCCACGUUGACGCAGCGCAAUGAAACACCAAAUUAAGCAGCGGCUUGAUUAAUGCAUAUUAAUUGCUUUUUUAUUACACCCACCAAACGAUCUUUGAAUUCACUUCUCUGCCUCUGUUUUUCUAUAUUUUCAGGACUUGGUCUUCUUCAUUUAUCAGACUACAAAUUCAACUCUGAUUUUGUCUCUUCCUCACUCCUCCCUAAUCAACUUAUUUCCAUUUUCGAAGCUACAGGACUCAACUUUCUUAAAACAAGUCAAAAAGUUUAAGCUACAUAUAUAUUUACCCAUUUUAAUGUUUCCCACGCUUUGCAUUAAUGUUUCACAUCUCAACAUGUUUAACACUCUAUUUUAUGUCAAAAAUUAUUAUUCAAUAUAUAUUCUUAUAUGCAAUAUAUAGUUAUGUGCAUGGUACAGAAUAAAUAUUUUUUAUAAUAUUAAAAUUAUAAUUAAUAAAUAAAAUUGAAUAUAUAACUUGUUUUGGUAUUAGAGCCCGAGACCGAACCGACCCUCUGAUCCUGUACCCGUUCGUCUGACCCGUUCGUCUUUCAGAUGCCUUUAUGAAUCACCCGGGAGACCCUGCAAUAAGAACACUCCGACGUCCAAGUCAGUAGAUCAGUUAACGGAAUCAAUUUUUGGAUUAGAUUCGAGAUUACUUUACCUGUCCUGCUGUCCCUAUUUAUAGACGAUGUAUUCAUAACUGACCAUUAAUUUCAUUGAUUNGCUAUGCCUUCCGUUACAUCUCCAUCAAAGUCUUUUAAUGCUUUCUCGACCCCACAUCCACUUGAUCCAUACCGUCCGGUGUUAGGCUGCCUUUGCCCCUUGUGGCUUUGGCAACCUGGCCGACCGGUCUUUUUCCAGCACUCUUGAUCCGGCCGACUCAGCCGACCCUCCUCCACUACAUAACUCAUUAUAAUAAAAUUCAGAAUAACUAAAUGAAUUUGAUUCUAUACGUUUUAUAUAUAUAAUACACACCGUGUAUAUAUGUAUUAGAUGAUUUCUUAAGGGUUUUUGGGGUUGCACCAAGAAAUUUGAUAGGGUGGAGAAAGUCCUUUCCUAAAUUUAUUUACGAGGGCAGGGUAUGUUGGCCUAACCAAGAAUGAGUUGAUCCCUGUCCAGGCUCAUGCAGGAGGCCCAGAGAAACACUCAAUAAUGAAAGAAUAAAAUUAAGUAAUUUGUUUACAAAUGUUUUUUCUACUAUUUAUAUGUCAAUAAUUUUCAAAAUUCAACAGGUCAAAAGUUUAAUUUUUUAAUAUUUUAAAAAAGUACUAACAAUUUAGUUAAAAUUCUUAAAUAUAAAUUUUCAUCCGAAUGAGUACGUUGGUUUUUGUUUAUAGUAACUUGGGGGGUGGUGGAAGCAGUUGGUCUCAAAAACCAUGAACGAGGAAACUGCUAGAAGGUUACCCUUGUCUUGCCUCGCACCUUCUCAACAAAUUCGCCCUGCCUCACUCACUGUCAGUGUUUCAGAAAAUGACUAUACCAUAUUCUAUGACUAAAAUAGUAAAAGAAAAAGUGACCUUUUAUAUUUCAAAAAAAAUAAAUAAAUAAAGAACAGUGAAGGAUAACGUCAAUGACGUUAAUGUUUAUUGGCGUUAGUUUAUUUUAGAACUUUUAAGGAUCUCUGUACAAAGAAAAAAAUAUUUUAACCUAAACCUUUUACAAUAUUUUAAUACAAUAUACGUAAAAUAUUUUUUUACAAUAUUUUAAUAUAAUAUACUAAUAUAUUUUAAAUCCAGUAUAAUACAUGUAUUAUAUUAAAAUAUUGUAAAACAUUAUAUGUUAACUGUGGAUACGUUGUAGAAUAAGAAAAAAAAAAUAUUGCUUUUCUCCCUUACCCAUACAAUGGUAGUACUAUUUUUAAAGUCAAAUCAUCCACCGUCCAUUUACGAAGUCGGUGAUGAUAAAAUAAUUCUGACUUUUGAGUGAUUUUGACUUAUAUUGUUUCCUGUUGUAGUAUUUAAUCUUCUGUAAAUAUAUAUAGGUCCAAAGCGAGGACGCAGUAGAUUCAGAAAGCAAUACGCUACGCACAUAGUUUGACAGUUGAGGCAAGAGGAAAAAGAAAAAUACAUUGCAUACAUGGCGAAUUCAGGAGUAUCCCUUAUGUUUGCUUCGAUAGUGGAAAAUGCUCUUAGAAGUAUCGGAGGAGAUUUGGGGGCAUUUCCUUUGCACGAUUUUUCUUUGGCAGUGGAGAAUGCUUUGAGUAGUAUUGGAGGAGAUUUCGGAGCAUUACCUGUUCAUGGAUUUGCUUCUAUAGUCAACAAUGCAAUGACAAGUGUUGGAGGAGAUUUGGGAACAUUGCCCGUGCAUGGUUUUGCUUCUGCAGUGGAGAAUGCGAUGAGAAGUACUGGAGGCGAUUUUAGAGCCUUACCCGAGCAUGGCUUUGCUUCGACAGUGGAGAAUGCCAUGCAUAGCAUUAGUGAAGAUUUGGGAAUGUCUCAUUCCCCUGUGCCUGGUUUUCAAUUAUUCACCCUAGUUGAGCUUGCAGCAGCCACCGACAAUUUCUCAUCGGGCAACAGAAUUUGUAUUGGAAGCUAUAGUGUUGUGUACAUAGGCAAACUCGUUGAUGGUAGUGAGGUUGCAAUAGAAAGGGUAGAAACGGGGUUGAGUAGAACGCCUGAAGAGGUCUUCUGGUGGAGGAGAAUGUCUAGUUCGACCUUUUGGCCUUGUUUACGCCCCAAGAACUUGGUUGGGCUGGUUGGGUUGUGUGUAGAGAAAGAUGAAAGGGUGUUGGUGUACGAGUACAUGAAGAAUGGAUCGUUGAAUGAUCAUUUACAUGAGAAGGGGAGCAAUGUGUUGAAUUCGUGGGAAAUAAGGAUAAAAAUUGCUUUGGAUGCUUCCCGAGGAAUAGAAUAUCUUCAUAGGUAUGGAAUUCCAUGUACUGUUCAUGGAGAUAUCAAGACUUGCAACAUUCUUCUUGAUGCUACCUGGACGGCAAAGUUGUGUAACUUUGGGAAGGUAGCAGGAAGCAUUGGAUACAUUGAUCCUGAGUACUCAACUCUUGGUGUGUUCACAGAAAAGAGUGAUGUGUAUGGAUUUGGAGUUGUGCUGCUUGAACUUCUAACAGGAAAGAGAGCUGCAUAUGGGCAAAGUAGGAAAAAUAUAGGCAGCAUAUUACAUGUACCCUCUGCAAAGGCUGCUAUUGUGGCUGGAGAUUUUGUUAAAAUUUUGGAUACAAGGAUUGGAGAACCCUAUCUCGGUGAAGCAGAGGCAGUGGAGUUAGUGGCUCAUACUGCCAUGAAUUGUGUAAAUGUGGUAGGGAAGGUUAGACCAUCCAUUUCUCAAGUUGUGGUCAAUUUGGAGAGGGCUUUUGCUUAUUUCUUGUGCUAGGGUGAAGUAUUCUGAGUUCUCAUUCAUUCUUUCUAAAUUUUAUAUUUACUUCAUUCUGAUAUAUAUCUGUAAACUGUUUAUUUUUUCAUUUUUUUUUUCUAUAUAAAUUUCUCACUAUUAAUGAAUAUUUCCCUAUAUUCCUAAAAUUUCAAUUUAAAUAUACUAUACUAUGUUUUCUUAUAAUAUUAUUUUAUGCUUAAAUUGUUAGAAUGGUUUCAUUCAAAGAUGCUAAUUAAUGAAAAAGUUCAUCACCAAUGAAUAAUGUCACUAGAAGAAAACUCCGUAAUAUAGUAACUUUAAUGCUAUUAAAACAUAUUCUAUUUAUUUUAAAAAAAUAAUUAAAAAUAGUUCAUUGACUAUAUCCCCUUUUAAGUACAAAGUUACGUGAUUUUUUCCGUUCAAAAAUUACUCAAUUCGUCCCCAAAAAUAUGUGUUUAUCUACAUUAUAUCAACAAGUUGAAAUCCGUUCAUAAAAUUUAUGACAAAUGAAUCAAUUUGAUUUUAUAAGCUUUAAUUAAUCCAUUUAAUUUUCGUUGAACUAUUGAUCACUAAAUAUAAAAUAUAAUUUACAAUUUAACUUUAUCUUAUUUUAAGAAGCACUAAUUUAACCAUUCAAAUGUCUCAUGUAUUGUAAUAAUCCCCUCGUCAAUAGCUAUCAUCAAUGUUAUCAAUUCCUAAAAAAUAAUCAUCUUAAAUUCAGAAUUUCAAACAACAACCUUUAGCUCCAAAUCAUUAAAUCAAUUCACAUUCUUAACCAACCAAUUUAUACCAUACACGAAAUCCAUUUAAUACAAAUAAAAAUUAAAUCAUGAUUCUAUAGCAAAACACACUCAAAUUUAAAUAAUUAACUUUCCUUACUUGACUAAUAACACAACAUAACUUCUUUGAUCAAUAAACACCCAUAAACAUAAAGAACAAAUAUAUACUGUAAGCACAAAGAAAAUUUUGAUCAAUUUUCAUAUCUUAAUCAUCUUAAUAAAACAAAGAUCACACUAUUAUAAAAAGAAUAAAAUAAAAAUCUACUCUAUUUAACAAAAUAAUUAGAUGAAUAAGUAGGUUUCAUGGUCAUUAGUGUGCUCCCGUAUUCUAACAUAUUAAUAGAGAAUUAAAAUUUCUAGAAAGAAAGUAGAGGUGGAAUAAUAUUCUUAUUUUUAGAAAAAUAAUAAAUUUUAUAAAUGAACUAUAUUUAUUUUUAUUAAAACUUUUUAAUAAUAAAUUAUAUGAGUGUAAAUUAUAGGUAUGAUAUCUUCUUAAUGUUUAAUAUUUUUUUUCUCAAUUAUCAUAAUACUUUUUAAUUUAAUUAAAUUUUUUAAAUGAGUUAAUAUAAACCUUUCUAUUUGGUGAAAAAUAAAAUAAAGUUACAUUAGGUCAUAACAGAAAAAAAAAGUAAAAUAUUUUUAGCAUUAUUUUAAAUUUACAAAUAUUAAAAGGGCUGACAUAUGGUUUUGAUAUUUAAAAGCACAUUUGUUCUAGAAUUAAUAUAUUUUAAAAUUUUCUUUGUUUUCAGUCGUUGACAAGUAGUUACUUACCUUUACGCGUAGAAACAUAUAAUAUUAUUAUAAGGUGAAUGAUUAAUAUUGAUCCAUUGACGAAUUACUAUGAAGAACACUGACUUAUCUAACUGGUAUGCAUCGACCAAGAAUUACAAGAUAUUUGUUUAUCUUUAUUAUAAUAUCUAAUAUAUGACAACAGAUUCUAAAUUAUAAUAAAGCACUUUAUCAAAUCAACAAUUAUAUUAAAGAAUAUAAUUAUGAUAAAUAAAAGAAUAGUUUAUUAUAAAUAUAAAAUUGUCUCUUAUAUGUUUCCAGACGCCCUUUUUCUCAGUACACGGUUUUCAAGAAUUCGUCGUGGCAGAGCCUGUAUAAGCCGCCAGCAAUUUCUCAAAUGAUCACAUCAUUCAAUGGUUCUGGAAGCUCUGUUGAUGUGUGGGACCUUCUCAACUGGGACGCGUAUUCUCUGUGUAUAAAGAUCGAAAGCGAGUUCUUUGAAAGUACAUACUUUGACAUGGCUGGUUACAUGGGUGAUGCAACAAGUUUUUGUUCGGCUGUGGACAGUGCCAUAAGGAGUGAGACUGCCUCAAGUUUGGGAGCAUCCCCUCCCCAUAGUUUUGCUUCGGUGGUGGACUAUGCAUUGAGAAGUAGUUGUGCUUCUGAAGCAGAUUUUGGAACGUCCCGUGUCUCCAGUUUUGUUUCGAGAGUGGACUAUGUGAUCAGGAGUAGUGGAAUAACAGAUUUAGAAACCUUCCCUGUGCCUGGUUUUGCUUCUGAGGCUUACUCCACCACUGUUGCUGAAGCAGAUUUUCGAACGUCCCGUGUCUCCAGUUUUGCUUCGGGAGUGGACGACUAUGUGAUCAGGAGUAGUAGUAGUGAAGGAACAGAUUUAAAAACCUUUCCUGUGCCAGGUUUUGCUUCUGAGGUUAACUCCACCACUGUUGCUGAAGGGUCAUCACCAGUGUUGUCCAAUGUCACAGAACAUGCUGUUAAAGGCUUACAAUUAUUCAGCCAGGCUGAGCUUGUAGCAGCGACCAACAAUUUCUCACUUAACAACAAGAUUGGUGCUGGAAGGCUUGGUGUUGUGUACAUAGGCAAACUCGUUGAUGGCCGUGAGGUUGUAAUCAAGAGGGUUGAAACCUGGCAAAAGAAAAAGAUCUCAUCAAUUAAAUCUGCAUUGACCUUCUUGUCCCGUUUACACCACAAACACUUGGUUGGGUUGGUUGGAUUCUGUGAAGAGAAAUACGAGAGGCUGUUGGUGUAUGAGUACAUGAAGAAUGGUACCUUGUAUGAUCAUUUGCAUGAAAAUGGUAGCAAUGUGUUGAAUCGGUGGAAAAUGAGGAUCACUAUUGCUUUAGAUGCUUCCCGAGGAAUAGAAUAUCUUCAUAAGUAUGCAGCUCCACUAUUUAUUCACGGGCACGUCAAGUCUUCCAACAUUCUUCUUGAUGCCACUUGGCUGGCAAGAGUGUCUGAUUUUAAAUUGUGUUUGAUGAGUCCAGAAGCUGAGCGUGAUUACCGACGAAUAAAGGUAGGAGGAACAGUUGGAUACAUUGAUCCUGAGUACUAUGAUCUAAAUAUAUUGACAGCAAAGAGUGAUGUGUAUGGGCUGGGAGUUGUACUGCUAGAGCUUUUAACAGGAAAGAAAGCUGUAUUCCUUGAUGGGGAAGAUGGAGGUACCUUAAGUGUGCACCGUUUGGUGGACUUUGCAGUGCCUGCCAUUUUGGCUGGAGAAUUGGUCAACAUUUUGGAUCCUAGAGUUAGACCACCGGGUGUGAAUGAGAUUGAGGCAUUGGAGUUGGUGGCCCAAACAGCCCUCCAUUGCGUGAAUCGGAAAGGUAAAGAUAGACCAUCCAUGGCUGAUAUUGUGAUCAGUUUGGAGAGAGCAUUGGCCAUCUGUUACGGUAGUACUUAUCAUAUCAUUCAUGGGUGGAUGGAUUUUGAAAAUAUAGUUUGGAAAUAUAAGGGAUAUGUUAGUUAGGGAUUUAUAAUUUUAUUUUAUUUGUGUAUUUUAUUUUAUUUUAUCCAACCUUUGCCCCGUCUAAACCAUAAUCACUUGGCUGGGCUAGUUGGGUUCUGUAAAGAGAAAGAUGAAAGGUUAUUGGUGUAUGAAAAGAUGAAGAAUGGGGCGUUAUUGGACAAGGUGAGCAGUGUAUUGAAUUAUUGGAGAAGGAGAAUCAAGAUUGAUUUGGAUGCAUUCGGGGGAAUAGAACUAAUCCCUAAUAAUUAAUCAAAACUAGAUGACUAUCAAUACUCUUUAACACUCAGAUAAAACGAAAAAGAAGAAGAUAAUUAUUUCUUCCUUGCAAGUUUUGAAUUAACUCCCAAAUUAUGAUAAAUUGUCAUCAUAAAUUAUUUAAGAAAACAUUCUAUCUUCAUUCAUUCAACUUAUUAUGGCCAAGGGUUUUUAAUUUUAUAAUAAAAAUCAAACGAUGGUUCCUGCUUUAAUAUCAUUAACCUCCAUUUCCAUUCACAUCCAUUCGAUUAGACUUUAAAGCACAAGGUGUCUCUACAAUCAAAAUAUAAUAAAUCACUUAUCAAUUAAAAUAAUAAUGCCAUGUUAAAGAAAAUAUUUAUUUUCUUAUUUAUAGUUUUUCAUCGAUAAACUAUGAUAUAUAUGUAAAUUAAUAAAUAAGAUCCAUUGAAAAGAAAUUAAGGUAAUAUUAACUAUUGAAAACCUCCUCUUGCAUGACCACGUAUGUAUAGACUAGUAAAUAAGAUCUAUUAAUAUGAUUCGAUUUAUUCUACUAAUAUUCUGUUGAUAAUAAUCUUUGACCAACAAUUGUUUAAAUUACACUUAACGUAUGAAUGACUAAGGUUGACCUUCUCCUUUCCUAGCACCUUCUCAACCAAUACAUGGUACUUAACAUGUACACGUAUUCAUAUCUCCACGCGGUAUAUCAGUGUAAUUGUGUAUAUAGGUGUUCUACAACAUACAUAAACUCACUUAGCUAGUGCACAAAUAAUAAUUGAGAUGGCUGAUAUCGUAGUUGACGCAAGGAGUUUUAGUUGGGCAGUGGACAGUGCCAUAGCGAGUGAGAGUGCGUCAGAUAUGGGAGAAUCUCGUGUCCGCAGUUUUGCUUCGGUAGUGGACAGUGCCAUAAGGAGUAGCAGUGCUACUGAAGCGGAUUUUGAAACAUCCGCCCCUAUCAGUUGUUUUGCUUUUGCUUCUGCGGUGACCCAAAGAAUUGUUGCUGCACGACUAUCACAAGCAGUGUCGGAUGGGAUAGGAUAUGUUCAUACACGAUUAUUCACCCUAGCUGAGCUUAAAGCGGCCACCAACAAUUUCUCACUUCACAACAAGAUUUUUGGUGCUGGAAGCAUUAGUGUUGUGCACAGAGGUAAACUCUUUGAUGGUCGUGAGGUGGCUAUCAAAAGGGCUGAAACCAGUUCUAAGAUGAAGGAGUUUCAAGAGUUAUUUGGCUAUUUAUCCCUUUUGCCCUGCCUACACCAUAAUCACUUGGUUGGGCUAGUUGGAUUCUGUAAAGAGAAAGAUAAAAGGUUCUUGGUGUAUGAGUACAUGAAGAAUGGGGCGUUAUAUGAUCAUUUGCAUGACAAAAAGAAUGUGGACAAGGAGAGCAGUGUGUUGAAUUCUUGGAGAAUGAGGAUCAAGAUUGCUUUGGAUGCUUCCCGGGGAAUAGAACACCUUCAUAAAUAUGUAGUUCCAACUAUUAUUUACAGAGAUAUCAAGUCUUCCAACAUUCUUCUUGAUGCUAAUUGGACGGCAAGAGUAUCUGGUUUUGAAUCGUCGUGUUUCAUGAGUCCAGAAGCUGAGCAUGUUUACACGGAUAUGGUUACCGCAAAGAGGGAUGUGUACGGGCUUGGAGUUGUGCUGCUUGAACUUUUAACAGGAAAGAAAACUACAUUCAAGUAUGGGUCAUAUAGGUGCACACGUAUGGUGAACAUUGCACGACAUGUUAUUUUGGAUGGGAAAAUGGUGAACGUUUUGGAUCCAAGGGUUGGAGCACCCCAUGGAAAUGACGAAGCAGAGGCACUGGAAUUAGUGGCCCAUACAGCGGUCAAUUGUGUAAAUUUGAACAGGAAAGAUAGGCCAACUAUGACUGAGGUAGUGGCCAAUUUGGAGACAGCUUUAUCACUUGCCAGUGAUAACAGAAAAACAGACCAUUUGCACUAUUUAUGACAAUUUAAUCUUACACAAUGUAUAUACACAUGCCAUCACUCAUUAAAGUAUCAUGACGCUGAAUACUAACAUUUUUUGACAAUUUUUUUUUCCGGUAAAAGUUGGGGAUCCCUAGCAUUGCAGUAGUUAUUAGCAUGGUUAUCAAACUCAUUAACUCGGACGAGUUACAUUCCUAGUCAUAGCUUCUGAGUUAACUUGAAGGAAACUCGUUUUCCAACUAGAAUCGGUGGAAUCGUUCGAACUCGCGAGUUUGUAAUGGUUUGGCGAGUUCGAAAGAAGAAAAAUUUGAAGCCAAAUCAUAGUCGUUUGGAGGGGAAAAAUCACCUGGUUAGGGCUCCAAUCUUUUGAUAUUAAGCCCCUUCUUCUUCGUUCUCUGAGCUACAUCACCCUUUCGCCAUCGCGUCACUCCCUCUGGCCAUCGCACUCGCCGUCGACCAUCAUCUCGUAGCUGUCCUUGGUCGUGUCACCCUCGCGUCACUCUCUGUGCAAAGCUCCCAAACGGAGCCAUCGCCGACAUAGGCGCUGGUGGCACCACCUACGCCCUUCUGCUGGAUCGCGUGAGCUUAUUCUCGCUGUGUUUCCCUCCCAACAAAGGAAGUGAGGAGGUGCGGGGUGGCGCAGGAAAUGGGGAUAAAAGAUAGGAUUAUUUUUUUACUUUGGGAUAGAAUGGGUAUUAAAAAAAUUAGGGAGGUGCAGAAGAAAUAAAUGGGGUGCAAGAAGGGGCAGCCCCUCUCCACACUGCACAAUGAUGAUUAUUAUGUGUUUAUUUUUUAAUUUUGUAGUGAAAAAUUAAAAUUAGACCAUUAUGUCUGGAACAAAUUUAACAGUGACACCUUGCACAUCAGAUCCAUCAUGGGCUCUGAUACCACUGUUGGGGGAGGUUCAACACACACAUAGAACUUGCUUUGGACCAAGUUUUCACGGGUUUGCUUUUGGUACCACUCCAAAAGACCUCUUACCAUUAGAAAUAUCUAUGUGUAUAUAAACCCUUGACCAGUCCUUCUUUCACUCAAUGUGGGACUUUGUUUGCUCUCUAAGAGAAGAGACAGUGUGUAAGAAAGAUAGCUAAGAGUGGGUCUCUUUCAUUGGGCUAGGAAAACGGUUUAAAGUUUCACUUUCUCAAUUUGUAGCUGCACCUCCAUGUUUUACUUGGGCAGUAUACAGUGCUUAUUAAAAGUAUUGGAGUAUAUUUGGGAGCAUUCAAUGUCAGUGACUUUUCUUCUCAAGUCAAUAAUGCCACGAGAGAAGUUUCGGAGAAGAUUCAAGCAUUCCUUCAAGGAAUGUGAUAAUUAUAAUAUCUAUUAUUCUAUCUAAGUUAUAUACAAUAAUCAAAUAGUAGAUAACACAUAUCAAUACUGUGUAUGAAUUAAUGGAGUUUUUGAGUAAAAAAUCUUGAAUGAUGUGAAAACUUGAAGUGAUUCCACACGAAAACUAAUAUUUGUUAUGAUGCAUAAGAUAUGUGACAGACUUUUGUUACUCUCAAUCAAUCAGAAAAUUAGAAUAUAUUCUCUCUCUCUAUAUAUAUAUAUAUAAUGUUUAAAUAUUUUCUUUAUAUUAAUUAUACUAAAUUCUCUAAUUUCACGAUACGAAAUUAACUUGUAUGUGUGAUUAUGUAUGUAGAUCUAAAACUAAGCUAAUAUAAUACAUUAACUAAAUUAAUAUGUUGAUAUAAGAUUAUGGUAUUCACAUAGAAUAAAAAUUUAUAUAAAAAUAUCAUAUAAACAUGCCUUUUUUUCUUAUUUACAUUUAUCAGCAAUUUUAAUUAAUAAUUUCAUUAAACAUUUAUGAUAUAAUAAUUCACCUUAACUUUCUACUACCUAGUUUUUAGCUUUCAACUACUCAUUUCUAAAUAAAUAUUUAAAGAUUUGGAUACAUAAAACAAAAUUUUUUACACAAACUCCGAAGGUCCAACUCAAAAAUGCUUCAGUGGCUCAAAAAUCAAUUAAUUCAUUCGACCAUAAUUUCCUAACAUUUCAACUUCGGAAACGCUCAGGAUGUCUAAAUAUUCUUCCUAGACUAGGAUUAAAGAAUGCAUGGAACCAUAAAAAGCCCAUGAAACUUGCAUCAGACAUAUCCACAUUGAAAGGGAAGAAAAAUAAUGUAAUCAGACUAACAAAAAGGGGUAAUGAAACUGAUAAUCAUUUGAUUCGAGAAUAUCUUUGUCUUUGUUCAUCCACUUCAUUCAUCCAAUCUGAGAGCCGUAAAAGUCCCUUGUACCAAUAAUAUGUAGCAGCAACAAGAAUGAUCAAUAUAAACACAAACAGAAGAAACCGCUUCGCUCCGGAAAUUAUUUUCUGUUCAAUGAUUCUCAAGUAGGUCAGCAAAGAAAAAGACAACUGGAACUUAAAUAUGGCUCGAUUGUUAAGAAAAGUAACAUUACCUGAAGUUUUGAUGUUUCCUUGGAUUCAAGAACCCGUUCUCUCCUUUUUCUUCGCUUUCGAACUGAUUUUUCUGCAUCUUGAUCUUGUACCUUCAAUAAUUACUAAAGUAUUAGACACUGCCACGGCACAUCUCAAUAAAGGCAUGCCUCCUCAAUUUAAUGAAAACAAAGAAAAUCAACAUAAUUUAGAAAUUAGAGUAGGUAGUUUAUGCACUGACAGUGUGAAGUAUCAUCAAACCAGAAAUAGACGUAAAUGGUAUGUUUAUUACCUUUUAUAUCGUAUUGGUUGAAAUUUUAAUUUUAGAACCUUUGAUUUCUUAUGUAUGCAGCCGUGUAGGGGUAUUGUCAAUGUAUAAAAUGAGGCUAACAUUCUCACAAUGUAAUGAAAAUAUUUAUAGGUAUUGACAAUUUGUUUCAGCAAAAUAAACGUGUAUGGUAGAAAAACACGAAGAAUUUCACUCUUUCAUUAUCCUUUUUUCCAUCCCUCUCUUAAAUUAGUAAGUAUCAUAUUUGUAAUUUGAUGAAACAACAGAGCAUCCAAAAAUAACACUACAUGUCGCCACACAUCAAUAUCUAUAUGUAUUUGUGGUUUUGUAUAUAACUCUAACUUGGUUAUGAAAUUUAUUAAGACCAUAAAUGGCACUGCAAACACAAAGAUGCCUGUACAAAAGGAAGAAUUUUAGAAGUGUGAAUGUUAGGAGCUCGAAAGUGUAUGAGAGGAGAAGAUAUAGGAGAGAGGGAGAAGAGGACCGAACGGUAGAAGAGGGUGAGCAAACAGACCGAACAGGGGAAGACAGGGGCGAGCGGACUGAACGGUAGACAAAGAAAAGCAAGAUAGCCGAACGAUAGAAGGUGGAGCACGGUUUGACCGAACGGUAGACAAGGGGGAGCGAGGGCGGGACAUGAGUUGACCGAACGGUGGACGAGGGGGAAUGACCACACCGAGUGGUUGGAAGCAACGAGGAAGCAUCCUAACUGCCUCAACGGUUAGGAUGGACAGGAAACUAAUUAGAGUAAUGAGAGCUUUUCUGAGAGGAUAUUCAGCCAGAGUUAUUGAGAGUAAACAAGACCAUAUCUUAGGAUAUUAUUUGGUAUAAGUUAAAUAUAGGAAAUAAGGCUAAAUAUAUUUGUAUAAGUUAAUUAUAGCAAAUAAGGUUAUUUUCUAAUAUUCAGUAGAGGUUUGGAGCGGGAAAUAUUUAGUAUAAAUAAAAGGGAAGCCUAGGGUAAAAGACAUGCUUUUGAUUUGUUUGUUUUGUAAGAGAGGUUAUGUUCUCAGGCAAGUGAUGGUGAACCCGCUUCCAGUCAUUGUUUGCUUUCUUUGAUUCAGUUAUUUCCAUUCAAUAAAAGAGGUUUAUUCAGCUAUUUUCCAUUAUUCCUAGUUUGUGAGUGUGUGAGGAAGUUUUCUAGUUCCGUCCCAUACUCAGGUACGUAACAGUGAACAAACCUUAUAAAUAAAGUAUAAAAGAUUAUAGAGUACAUGUUGGAAAGUGCUGACAGAAUCAUGAUUACCUCAGUAACCCUAGAUUUACGCAAUUGUAGUUCUGACUCAACAACCUGCACUUUACUCUUACAAUCAGAAUUGCAAGGAAUUAGUCCAAUUCCAAAUUGAUUUUUUGGUGUGUCCCUUGGAUGGCAACCCAUAAGAUGAUACGCUGCUUGAACAUCUUGACAAACCCACUCUUUUUUCAGUGUUUGGCAUUUGCAACGAACUGUGACCUGUGAAGAAUGAUUUCAUAUUUUAGAAGUCAAAUUGAAUCAAUAAUAGGUGUAUUCAUUUGUUUAGAAUGCAGUAGCAAGAAAACUAGUACAAAAACAUCGCUUGAGCUAAUUGUGUUAUGAUUAUUGAGUCAUGUAGUACCUUUUUACAGCAUUUCUCUGCAUUUGUGCACUCACCGGGAUGACAUGUCUCUGGGCAUAGAUGCGUGCAAUUUGGCAACUUUCUGCAAAACAUGAGAAAAAUAGGGCUGUCAUAUAAUUUUACUAACCAAUUAAUAGAACAAGAAACAAGGAAGAGAGAGGAAACAAAGUCUAACAGAGAUUUAGAACUUACAGUUGGUUUCAAGGGCUAAACUAGAUUUUAAAAAAAAAAUUGCUAGUCUCUAAUUACCUAUGACAUGGCCCACCACAUGAACGGACAGUCUCUUGAUCCUUUGCAGACAAGCUAUUGUAAUAUAUACACUCAAACACAUGAACCAUUGCACCACAGUGACAUGACCGCUUAAUGAGCACCUUGCAUGGAGGACAGUCUCCAGGAUGACAUGACCGAGGGCAAUUGUGUGGACAUGCAGGCUCUCUUUCCUGAUCAAUGCAGUUAACACAUCAACCAACAAACUAUCAGUUCUAAUUUUAGAAAGCAUACAGGAGAGUUUCUCAAUUUUACACAGGAAGACAAAUAAGAAACUUCAUUGAGCAUAAAUCCAGUGAUAAAAAUAGAGAUUACAAAAAACCAUAAAUAAAGCCACCAGUGCAAUAUAAAUAGUAAAAUUAAAUGGAUUAAUGGAAUUCAGGAGGAUCUAACACCUUCUGGCAACGAAGAUAACAAUCUUCACAUGGUUCACUUCCUCGUAAUUGGCUAUCCAAGGCAUGACAGGUUUUUGUACAAUAAUGAUUGCCACAUGGUAGAGGAUUACCACAUAAAUUUUCACAGGAGAACUGUGAUUUAUCAGAGCAAACCAUCUGAUAGUAGGGUGAAAAGAAAACAGCAACUGUAUUAGCAAUAUAAAAGAAGUUGCUUUUGGUCAAAUUAAUCAAAUAUUGCACAUCCAAGUUCAUAUAGAGCUUUGAAGAUAUGCAAAACAAACCAUUCUGUCAGCUCCAAUGUGUUGUCCAACACAUGAUCUCCACACAAGUUCAGGGCAAGGAGGGCAUGGAGUGCCAGGAACACCUUCACUUUGUUGUAUAAUCUUCUUUUUCUUGGGUUUCAGAGUAAACUCUGGUUUAGGAGGAGGCUUAGGACCAUGACACCUUCACAAAGACAAAGAUAUACCUAAAAGUUAAGUGUAUGGACUGGUUGUUAACUCGUGAUACUACUAUGAGCCACAUGCAUUACUUUGCCAAGACUCAAGAACAUAAGUAGAGACCGCUGAAUCUUUGUUUUAGGACUUUCCAUUCAUGCUAAAUUUCAAAAAAUCCAAAGGCCUAACAUGCAGGCAUUGGUUUUAUCAUAAAUAAAGAGAAACUUUUAUCAAACCUUAAUUUGCAUGUAUGGCCACAUUGAUACUCUCUGGCACAAGGUAGCCGACAAGGAUGGCAGGCUCCAUAAUGGCAUUUAUGCGGCUACACAAAAACAUAACUUGUUAACAACAUAAAAAUAAAAAACAUGAACCAGAAAAAAUUAAGGAUACACUUCAUUUCGUAAAACUAAAGAAAAUUUAAGUAUAAUAAUGAUAUCUAUGGAUAGCUUUCUAAUCAUUCAGAUUUAGAGAAAAGCAACACUAGAAACUUGUCGUCAAUAUAUACUGUGAAUAUUUAUUUUAUAAAAAAUAAUUGCAUAAUGAAAUGUAAUCCUCCAUUUUCAAAUUUAACUGUACCAAGCAUUGAAGGACAUCAACUUUAUUAUAUAAUGGAAAAUUUCAACACCAGAAACAGUUUCAAAUAGAACAGAAAGCUCUAUUUCGAUUGUGGAAUUUGUGAAGAAAUCCAAGAACAUGUUAAUCCUCAAGAAAGUAUAUUCUAUUGUACAGACUUAUUACUGCUCUUUCACAAGAUUAAAAAUUUAACUUCAGUAAUAUACACAGCCCGGUUUUUUAAAAAAUAAUAGUUAAAAUUUUAUCUGAAAGCAAGAAAAAAGUAUACUCGAAGCUACAAAUUAUAUUGAAGAAAUAUGAAAGACCUAAAGCUACAAAUUCAUAAAUCUCUUUAUAACAGUUAAAAAGCAAAAUUCAUGACUUGUAAUAAGAGAAAAUAACAGUGAUGAAAUAGGGAUAGCAACAGGUAAAACAUCAUAUAAAUGGUUAUACUCAAACCAAAUGAAAGGGCUGUACAACAGAAACCUGCUCAAACUCAUUCAAAAAUACUCUACAAUAUCGCAGGUUUGUCUUGGUAGAAAACGAUCAUACUGUAAAAUGAUAAUACUUCAAGUUAAAUCCAUUAAAUUAGAGCUUAUAUUAAGGAUACAAAGACAAAUUUAUACUUCAUAUGAUUAACUUCUGCUCAAAUACUACGGGUCUUGUCUUAUAUUUGAAAUCAGCCAAAAUGGCGAGAAUUAGAUACUCAUGAUGAUUCUGAUGAAAUAAGCUUCUUUACAUAAAAUUUUAAAUGUCAAAUGCACAUUUUAUCUUUGACAGUAAGCACUACUUCAAAUUCUAGACCUCAAGGAGAGAUAAAUCUUAUUAUCUUUUCCCACUUUCCCUUAUGUUCCAAUUAAUUAUACAGUCGUACAAAAAGAUUAUUUGUUUGUUAUAUCGAGAGCACAACCAUGUAUAGGAGACCAGGGAUCAAAUCCCAAGAAUAUAAUGGGGAAUCAAAAUUAUUUGAUUUUAAAUCUCUAAAAGGUUUGAUAAAAAUACCACAGUAGAAUGGGGAUGGACACCCUAUUAAAUAUAUCAUAUUACCAUUAAAAGAAAAAAGAGAAUUUUUCUUCUAAAAUAUUUUCCUCUACCAUAGCUUCAGCAGACUAUAAAUAAAGUUUAUCUCUGAUUGAAAAUGUAAAUGCCUGAGUAAAAACAAGUCAUAUCAAAUGGUACCUUGCAAUUUGAUGCAUGCCGACAUAAAGGAGUGAUAGGACAUGGUUUGGGACAUCUAGGAGGUUUUUGGUCCAUUUCCGUACCACAAGGAACCUGGUAGAAAAUCCACUACUCAUCAUAAUACAUUCCAGGCCAGUUUUACUAAAAAUUGAAGAAAUCCAAGCACAUAGGAUCAAGUUCCAGAAUAUCAUAUAAGAUAACAGUGCCAUUUUGACCAAAGGAAAAGAGAUAAUAGACCACCAUAAACAAACACAAAGGAAGAAGUAAUAAAGAAUACCAGUGUUUUUAUGUGCGUGUUUACUGACCCAAACAACCGGCAAGAUUAAGAUCAAUUUACUUACAUUAAAAUACAAAAGUCCAAAGGAAAUAGCAAAAAGUAACCCAUUGUUUACAUGAUCCCUGAACUUCCAAUAUUUUAAAUGAAAAUGCAUUAGACAAGGCUGGUCUCACACGUAAUAUAUAAAUAGGAACAUCACACUGACUACAAAAUACAGCACAUAAAUUAAAACUAAUAAACCUCCAUAUUUGAUACUAUGCAUUUACCUUUGAUGUUUCCCAGAAUAUUUUCAAAACUUUAAAUGACUUUCCGUCAUGUAAAUUACCACUGUAUUACAACACGACUGUUGUUCAAAAACAAACAUGAUAUUUUGUUAAUCAACUGUUCAACACCAAAGAGACCUCCCCACAAUUAAAUCAAACCUGUUAAUGACAAUUAUGAGCUCUGAUUUCUGUUUUCCAUAUAAAAAGAGUAUACAAGUCACAGCCCUCAAAUAAUUGAGGUUUUCCCUUUUGGUGCUUCAAACACGUAAAAUAAAUUCUUCUUAAGUGUUCCUUCUGAAAGUUAUCAAAUUACUCCCGAUUCCAACAUCAUCUAGCCAUCGACUUCCAUGAAUUAAUCAGUUAAUAGUAUUAUUUUACAGAAACGUGUUAACAAUGUUCAAGAAUGUCAAGUUUCAGAAAAACAAUUAUAACUGACCUUUCCAAUAAUCACAAACAUGCACAUUUGAAUAAUUAUGUCAUGUAAUAGGAUAAGAUCAUGCAACAAUUUAGAUGUACUCAUGCUCUCAUGGAUAACUCCAGAUGUCCGCAUUCAUUCAUACCUCAAAUCGUGUCUCUCCACACGCACAUGAAAUUGUCACCAUUAUUGGGCAAGGAGCACAAGGACCUCUGCAAGAACAAAGUUAAGUAUCAUGAUGAUGUAUUCUUCCCAAGUUAGAGAUUAAAAUAUAGUUCUGUACACAUAAUAUCUAUAAGUGAUAAUGUUAAUUUUUACCAUUAUCUUAGCUAUCUUUUAUUAACAAAAUCAACUUUUCUCUAGCUUUUAACCCUCUUAAUUCUCAUUUAAUUCUCAUUUUUAUCUUGCUUUUAUAAAUAAUUACAUUGUGGGUUACACUAAUAUAAUUUUACCACUAAUCCCCAUUCUUUUGUGCUGAUUUUCUGUCGAGAAGAUUUUGUCUCACCCAAACAAGUUUGCAAUCUCGAGCAGCGUGAAGAAGCAAUCAAGAACAUGAAUUGAGAGAAGUAUAGUUUUGUUGAGUGCCACAAAAGCUGCACCCAGUGCCACAAAGUCAAAAACUAAAUCGAGCUCCAUAGUUGGCCAGCAGCGGGCGGCACCUACACAGCGUCAAGUGCCAGCAAAUCAGAGAAUCCAGCCAUUUGAGGGCUGGCCAGCGCCAAGCGCCACUCAACUGACACCACUUAUGCUGACAUGGCAAUUUUGUCCUAUUUCUACUUGGUUGCUCGAAGAGAAGCAAAUAUUUGAAUGUUGGGAGCAUGAAAUACACUCCUGGAGAGCUUGGAGGUCUGCUAGGGCUUGUGGGAACCAUCCCUUCUUCCUUCUUGUAUCUCCGUCUUCUUCCACCUUUCAUUUUGUAAGCUUGGGCUCUCCAUGACAAUGGAGAGCCAAACCUAUUUUGUUGGGAUAGAUAUAACCACUAAACUCUUGUGUAUUUUGCAAAUGAUUUGAAAUAUAUAUACGCCUCUUCCAUUAAAUGCUAGUAUUCUUGUUUCUUAACUUAAUGCUUGCUUUGAUUUAGCCAUUCAUAGCUUGAUACUCGAUUCAUUAGGUGUUGAAAAAUAUCUUUUGAAACAUACACUUGGAACAAGAUACCUAAUGAAGCUUGCAUCUAGGAAUGGAGCUUGACCCAUUAGUUGUCUUAAACCCUAGUUAUAAAGUGGGUUUGUUUAUUAAGGGUUUAAGGGAUUGACUCAUAAUAAGGAAACCUAGACUCAUUCUACUAAGGGAUUAGGGUUUGAGUAGACUUGUGGGUUGAUAUUAGUAUAUUAAUGGAGAGAAUGUGAAUUUUUAUAUGCAUGAGAGUGAAGUCAGGUUUGUUUAUCAGGGGUUCACGGGAUUGAUUCUUAAAAAGGAAACAUAGGUUCAUUCUACUAAGGGAUUAGGGUUUGAGUAGACUUGUAGGUUGGUUGAUAUUAGUAUAUUAAUGGAGAGGAUGUGAGUUUUUAUAUGCAUGAGAGUGAAGUCAGUGAACUCUAAUCCCAAUAAUAGCAUUCCAUAUCAUUUCUUGUCUUUUCCACGGUCUAAGUGUCUUUAACUUCCAAAGUUCAUCUUUAUCAUUUAUGCAUCAAAUUACUUUCUUGUAAAUAAUCUCAAAGUAUGAAAAUAUUCUUUAGUCUAAACUAGUUAUCAAUGGUACAAUUAUUUGGUAUUGCACAAGUUCCUUUUGGUUCCUAUAUUCUUUUUAAAUGAUAGUAGUAUUAUGUUCCUUCUCUAUCUAGUCUAUUGUGAUCACAUUUUAAGACACAUGAAUUGAGAUUCAUGUGCCAAAAGGACCUCGGUAGCAGCAUAUGGAUAAGAACUUAGAAGAGCUUAUAGUUGCAGGCAGAUAACAGGAUUCAGCCCUAAGGCAGUCGGGAUGGCCCGAUCUCAGCCGAAAAUUGACCUAGCAUGGGUUUCAGACUAAAAAUUGAACAGGCUGACCUGAUUUCAGCUUAGAUCUAAUAGCAUAUGGGAAUCAUGAAUCUAAUUUUUAAAAAACAAAGAAAGUAGUAUUUCAGUUAUUUACCUAGUUGCCUAAAGGAUUACAGAUUCGGCUCCAGGUAACACAGACCGAGGACAUACCUAUGACAUGGAGAAGGGCAUUUAUGGUUCUUACAUCGAAGCCUCCUUCCGCAUAUCUAACAAUUUUCAUAAACGAAAAAAUAAUCAAUGUCAUCGCCAUCACAACUCAUAAGUCUCUUGCCAAAACAAAGCAGCUACAAAAACAUGCACGCACCUCUGAGCAGGGAGGGCAAUCCCCAUCACAGCAGCGCCGCUUGCAAGCAUGCCGACAACAGUCACGCAUCCUCUGACACUUCCUUUCACAUGCCAAAUCUUGAUAGCAAGGAACCUACUCUAAGUUCAAUCAACCUUACCAACCAUAAACCAAAACACAUCCAAAUUACCAUAAAAAAAAAGCACAAGAAAUCACUUACAUCUUUCUUGAGGCUCCCGCAUCGACAGGACUUCUUCACAACAACCCUACAAGUCUCAACGCACUGUCCACGGUGGCACCGCUCUGGGCACCUGUGGUAGCCACAGGGCAACAUCUUAUCACAGGUAGCCCCACAAAGCUGUACAGAAGCAUCACAAGGCAUUCCUUCAUAAAUCCUUUUCCCACAAGGGCAUGUUCUCUUCCCCUUGAGGGGACACUCACCACACUCCCCUGAAUGACACCCUCUCUCACAAACAUGUUUCCCACAGCUAAGCCUCUUCUCACAAGGAUGAUCGCACUGAAAAACACGAUCACAACACUCCUUCUCCUCUUUCACCUUCCUACACUGGCAGGCAUACACGCCACGUGUCCGGCAAGGAGGGCAAGCGCCACGGUGGCAAACCUCGGUGCAAUGGUGAGCCCCACAAUCCAAAACCUUGGAACACGGAUUAUUACAUGAAAAUUCCUUGAAUCCACAUCGUCGAACAUCUUCAAUGCUCCCGCAAAAGCAUCUAACUUUAACGAGUUUGGGGCAAGAAGGGCACGGCCCGGGAUGGCACAGUAACAAGCAAUGGUGCCCGCAAUUGUGCUUCAAGGGUCUUCCGCAGACCUCUCCGCAAGAAUGUGGCAAAACCCACGGAUCGUUGGGAGGGUUCUCCACCUUCCCGCAGAAGCAGAGAUACAUCUUGGGAAUGAGAGAUUUGGGGUACUCCGAUCUGCAUUUGGGGCAGUUCCAGAGGGCCGUGUCGUAGGCCGUGGCGGCGGAGAUGGGGAGGCGAAUGGCAGCGCGUGCGGCGGCGAGGUCCGAUGCCUGGCGGGCCCAGCUCUGGAUGCAGAUGAGGUGGAAGACGGCAAAGCAGAGGGAGGAGCAUGACCAAGUGGGGUCCGAGGGUUUGAUCCGUUCGAGGCAGAUGAGGCACGAGAGAGCACCGGCGGAGGAGGACGUCAGGAAUGAUUGGAUCUUCGAAAGGUCGGCACCGGAGUGGCCGGAGAAUUCGAGGUAUGGCUUGAAUAUGGAGUCGGAGAGGUCGGAAUGGCGGUGUGCCUCCGUGCCGGAGGAAAGGCCGUCUGCGUCGGAAUCAGAGUCGGAGAGUAUGGUUGGCGGUGGCGGGGAAGGAUGAGAGAGGGGACGAGUCCAGGCUGAUGUCAUGUUGGCAGUGAUGUCUAAUGGGACUCUGCCUCAGAUUCUUUUACGCUAUUGAUGUUCUUGUUUGUCUUCUUACUUCAAUACUGUUUUUUCUGUAUUUUCAUUUUUGUGUCGAUUUUAAAAGUGCAAUGGUUUUUUUAAUCCUCCUAUCUUACUCUAGAGGUAGUAAUACAUACUCUUUUAAGUAUUAAAAUAAAUUUCUAAUCUCCAUAAUUUUAGUUUUAUAAAAAACGAUCCGUUCAUCACAACUAAUAAAACAAUUACAAAUAUCAACACAGAAAUAUUUAAAUACAGAGAUAAAAAGGUAAUUAAAACAAAAAUAACCAAAAUUACAGAAUCAAAAUAAAAAUAACCUCACAACAACUACGAGCAAAGGGGUUAUUUUUUAAACAUCAUUUGUAUAAUUAAAAUGUAUUAAAACUCUAUUUUGAUAAAUUUAUGUCAAGAAGAUCAUUAUAAAAGAAAGAAUUAUCUUUUUAGUUCCUAUACUUUGGGGGUAAUUUUGAUUUUAGUCAUUCUUUCAAAUUAAGAUAUAAUUUAGUCAUUCAUCUUUAGAAAACUCUGGUUUUAGUCUUUUUUAUCAAAUUUUUUUAACUUUAUUUGUUGUUUCAAGCACGUUUCAUUAUAGUAUUUGGAUUGUUUACACUAUUUGAGACAUUUUUUCUUCAAUAUUAACUGAGAAACGGCGUUUGAAACAACAAAUAAAGUUAAAAAAAUUUGGUAAAAAGGACUAAAACCAGAGUUUUCUAAAGUUGAAGGACUAAAUUAUACCUUAAUUUGAAAUAGGGACUAAAACCAAAAUCACCCCCAAAAUAUACAGACUAAAAACAUAUUUAACCCUAAAAGAAAAUUUUCUAUAAUAUGAAAAGUAGAUCUAAGAUAUUGAAAAAUGUUGUUUUAAUAAUUUUUUAACAACUUUUUUAUAAUAAUAACAUGUGAUUAGUCUAUUUAAUAAAAUUGUGAUAUAUUGUCUAUUAUCCAAAAAUUAUUAAGAAAAAUUAUUAUCGUAUCAUAAUCACUUAUCAUUUCAGAGAGCUCUCUCUUUGAUGAAUUUAUAACAUUUAAUGAAAUGUAUUUUUGGUUUUCUUAUUUUCUGAUUUCAAUUUAAUUAAAAAAGAUUUUAUUGUUAUACACUUAACAUUUUGAUAUGGGAAAAUGUAUAUCUUUUAUUAUACCCAAUGACUCUCUGUCAAUCAUAAAUUAAACUAUUAAGACACAAAUAUGUCAUUAUUAGGACCUGAUAAUUAAAAAGUCUAAUAGAUCAAUCAACAAUGAAAGUAAUUAAUAUUAAAAUUAAACAAUUUAUGAGUAAAAUGUCAUUAUUAACAAUUGGGUGUAAUUAGACCAUUGUCUAUCACAACUAAAAUUUAUAAAUAUAAAUAUGAAAUAAAAGAGAAUGAGUCUAUUGUAUUAUCCAUACAUCUUUAUUAUUUUAUAUAUAAUUUAAAAAAAAAAAAAACAUAAAACUGUUGUACUAAAAAGUGAAGGUAAAUUUUACUUAAGAUGUUACUGUAAUAUAAGUUUUCCAUAUUUAUGAUUCCAAUAGUUUUCGUUUAUUUAUGCUUUGUUGUUUAUAAUUUUUUUCCCUUCCAUAUGAUGCACACUUAAUCUAGUUGGAGGAAUCAAAAUCAAGCAAUUCAAGUCUCAUUCUAACUCACAUCACACCCUUAUAUUUUCAGUGAAGGACAAAAUAAAUAAAAAUGAUCAUUCAACAUAAGCACCAUUUACACCACACAGCUACGUAAAGACUCUUACUAUAAGAUUUUUAAAGACUGUAGAAAAACGGAGGAGAAGGAUGCAAAAAUCAAAUGAAUUCAAAGCGCAUUAGAAGCUUCACAUUGUGGUACUUUUCUCCUUUGCGGGAAUAUAAUGGAACUGCACGAAUUCCACUUCUCAGUUCCCACACAGGUAAGCAAGUUUGGCCACCAAAGUCAUCUUUCUCAGACAUGUCAUAUUCAUGAACUUCUACACGAAGCAGAGCCAGUUCUGGAACAGAAAGUGGAAACUUAAAUUCCUCAUUCCAUGAUGGAGACCAAUUAUCCUCCACGCUCUUUGUUUUUUUCAUAACAGUAUCAUAAGGGACUCCAGCAAUCCCCACCUGCAUCACAGUUUGUCAGAUAAUAACCACACGCAAGAAAUCAAAAAUGAAUUGAAAAUAUGGAUAUCAAAUCAAUGUAACACAAUGAUUCCAUACUCUUGCAUAGAAGUCAGGGGGUGAGUAUUGAUCAAAGUGCGUGUGCUUGAAAUCAUGAAACCAUCCUUCCCCCAUAUAUAUAGUCACCUAGAUAAGAGUAACAAAAGUAUGAGCUUUAGUAGGAUCUAUAUUUUAGACUACAGACACAGACAAAGGAACAUCAUUCAAUUCUCCUGGCAGUAGAGCUUUUACUUUCAAAGUUUUCUUCACCGGCAAACGAGCUUUAGGAUCAAAGACCUCAUUAUUAAGACCAGUCUUUAACAGAAAAUCUGGUUUCUUAACAUAACCACAUCCCCCAUUGGCUUUGAACAUUCCCUGCAUCAACCAGAGAGACCUACCGUAUCCCUGUCAUGGAAUGAAAACAGAUUAGUGCACAUCUUCCAUGACCUCAAUAUCAUUUAGUCAAUAACACACUGCAUCAUGUUACAUUUCAGUAUAACUUAAGUAAUUUUGAAUAAGAAAAUAUUCACUCUUUCUCACUCUUCGUCUGCUACCUCUCUAUCCCUUUUUACUUUCUAAAACUUCAUAACAAUCCAACAUCACCCACUUUCAUGCAUAUAAAUGGGGUAAGCCCAGAAUGCAGCGAAACACUAGUUAUCCUAAAAAGUACAGCCCCAAAUUUUAAAUAGUUCUGAUGUAUAAAAGUAUUUAUAUAUCAGAAACUCCAUAUGCACUAUUGUGUGUGUCUCUAUCUAUCUCUUUUAUUACAUUUUAUCUCCUAUCAUACAAGCUUUCCCAACUUUGAAAUGUUUAGUGUUUUAUCUUGUUAUUUAUUCUGUUAUUCAUACAACUCGUUUUAAGACCUUUUCUCUAUACCACUCCCCAUUAAAUCACCCGUUACAUCUCACACAUCUCUCUCUUUUGUCUCUUCUCUCUCAUUGUUGUAGAAAACAUUGUUUAAUUUAUCAUACAAAUUAUACUUUCUCCCAUUCUUGUAGAACUUAUUGUACAAUUUAUCCUACAAAUACAAAAAAUGAAGCAAAACGAGUAGGGAAGGAAGAAGUAGAAACCUGCAUGUUGAAUGCAACCAUCUGGGCUCCAUGCAUCCACCCGAUCAAUGGAUUAUAAUUUGUUGAGGCAAUACGAGUGCCUUUUGGAUACACUCUCAGUAUAUUCCGCUGAGUAAACCUGCCAACAACCAAGAAAGUAAUACUUCUCUUUUCAUUUGCAAAUAAACAAAACAUCCUGCUAUGGAUUUGUUUCAAAGCAGAAUAGAAUAGAGGGGCUUUGGAUACGUUUCAGUUUACAACAAAUAGGAAAAUCAUUAGGUAUGUCACCUAGAAAAUAACGACACAGAAGUUUCUAAUAUGGUUAACUACUCUAUCAGAUAGGUGCCAUUAACACAUGCAUUAAGUAGUCAGACACUAAGGCUUUAAACCAUCAAAAGAGCCUGAAAAUCUUAGCUAAUAACUAUCUAAUUCUGCCUCACAUUUCUUACAAGUGAAAUCGUAUAUUACAUAAACAAAAAUCCAUAAAACAAUCAUGUACAACUUUAUUCAAAAAUAUGUUAGAUCCAAUUCAUAACAAAUCGAGAGCACCCAAGCACUCACAACACAAAUGAGUAAGGACUAACCGAAAAAGGUUGGCAAUACCUUAUGAUUUCUUUGCCAUGAGUUUCAGCAGCCUUUUCAAGUUGUAGCUCACUUAAACUUAGACGUUUCACUGUAUCGGGAUCCACUUUGAGGCAUUCUGUUAAUCCACCUUUAGGCUUCCCAGCAUGAAUGGCAAUUAAACGUCUGUAUUCGUCUGAUGCAUUUUGACGUGAAUAUUCUGCUUCAUCAGUAUCAUCUUCAUUGUCAAGAUCAUCCUCAUCCUCGAUGUUCUACAAAAGAUGUUUAUCUAAACUAUGAAUCAACCACUCCCACCCUAACAGAAUUAAAUGCAGUGUUAAUUAUUAGUAUGCAACAUUGACUUAGAGUCUCAGACCUUGUGAUCAGAAAUAGUGCCACCUCUCAAACUAGGAACUUCUUUCCCCCAUGCUUCUUCAUCAUCUACAGGCUUUUCCUUUUGUGAUCCCUCCCCCUUUUCCUGAACUUCUUUUGCCUCAAUGUACUCCUUAGGUGGUUUGGUUGAUAUGAUAAUCCUCCUUUUAAGCGAUUUAGGAGAAGGAAAUUCCUUCAAGCUUUCAGAGCCAGGAGAAAAUAGUAUGUCUCCAAAUGUUUGAGUAAUCAUCUAAAAGUUUGAACAGGACUCAUAAGUGUCAAAUAUAAGAAUAUGAAAAAGAAGCAUUUUGAUUUCCUCAAGUCACUAACCUCAGCCACUUUGGCCUGAAGAUCGGGAGUAAGGUGGUCUUCUAAGGUUAUUACAACUGGAUAUUCUGAGGCAACAAAAGCAUACUGCUUAAUAGACCUCAAACAUUUGAUGAGGGCCACAGGAGAUGUCAAUGUCCUGUAUUGCAAAAAAACAAAAUAAUAACAUAGACAUUUUCAAACUGUUUAGGGAAAAAAUAUAAAUUCAGAUUGUCAUCAGUAAUAAUACAUUGGAACGCUAUCAUUUUCCUGCCAAGCCAUAUUGCAUCAUUUUUGUUUGCAAGUAGUAAAUACAUAAAUAAGUCUUCAUGUUAUUGCAGGAAAUAUCAUUUCCUCUGCAAAAUUUUUUUCUCUAUGCAAUGAAUGCUUAAGUUGGAUGGAUUGAUUUCUUUAAAACAAUACAUGAGGAAGGGGAGUAAGGGGCAAGGGAAACAAGGGAGCUGUGUUAAAUUCCCUUUUAAAAGUCAGCAAAAAUGAACUAAUAAACUAACCUUCCAUGAAGAACAUCCACAUCAUCCUUUGAUUCAUUAGGCCAUAUAUCUAAUUCAAUCACCCUUACACCCUUCUGCAGUGCCUUGAUGAUGGGGACGUCACUGCAGUCACUGCUUAGUUGGUUCCCAGUUAGAUAGGAAUUAUGACCAGUAUAAAUGAAGUAAUGAGACAACGGUGAAGACAUAUCUUGGUGCACCUGCAAAUGGAAGAGCAGAAAGAACAUAAUCACACAAGCACUACAGCAAAAAAAACAAAGUUCACAGUAAUCUAAUACAUGAUACAACAUCAAUAGUCCAAUACCUAUGCAAAGCUAAUUAUUUUUAUAGCAUGGAAGAUGUAGAAUUAUAACCAAAAUGAAACUGACCAAUAAACUGAGCUGAGACGAUCGUAUUAACUGUUGAGAAUUGAGCUUGAGAACUAUAGGGACUAAUGUGUUGGUAGAACAACAGCAGGUGUUUAGAUGAUACCAACACACAAAACUAUAAAAGGAUAGAACAUAGAGAACAAACAAAGAAAAAAAAACUGCUAAAUGGUGCUUUAAAAUACUUGUUAAGAGAUCAUCAAAUAAAAAGUUUUAUUGCUGGAAUUGCAUCAGAAACUACAGAGUAGUGUCCACUGUACAUUUCUAAUAUAAAAAUUCACUCGGUCAGAGUCUUGAGACACUUGCUUCUAUAAGGACAUGAUUAACAGAAUCUAAAAAGCAAAGCACAAGAAAACGAUCUAUUCAUUCAGAAACGGAAAGCGCAUGUAUGUGAAACCAUAAAUUUACCCCGAGAGAAGGCGAGAGAGGUGGAUUAUUAUUGCUACUGAAGAGGUAGUUGAAGAAACUCUCAAGAUUGAGACCCCUCCGGUGAAAGAUGCUGAGAUGCUUGUGGCCAUCGAUGAUGGCCUGUGCUUCCUCCUCAGUGACACUCUCCUCCUUCUGCACCUCAACCAGGAAACCGCGGACGUGAGAGGCUGUCAUGAUUCCAUUCUCAUCGGAAUAACGGUCGAAAAGGGUCCUUAUCUCCGGAGGGGCCUCCGACACGGGGAGACUGAAGCGGCGGCGGAAGCAGAAGCAAAAGCUGUAAGUCUGCUUGGACAUGCCUUAAUCAAUGUUUUGUUUUUCUUCACUCUCUGUGUGUGUCUCCCUCAACCCACUCCUUGAAGAACAUAUAACUAAUGGGGUGAAAGCCAACGGAGCGUGUAGUUUGUAGAUACGAAGAUGAGUGCGUGUGCGUGUUAGCUGUGUCUAGAAGAUAACACUUUGGUCGGAGAAUGAAUACGUUUCUUGUGUUAGGUGGCAAUGAAAAGGUUGUCUUGUCGUGGAUACGUUUCCAGAGUCAGCAUGCAAGAGAGGGACCCACUCCCAACCUCCAAUCUUUUAGAUGUUUGGCACUUGGCAGCUCCGUCUUUUUCUUCAAAUCAGCCGUCUCUUUCUGGCUCUCACCUCUUUCAACUCUUCAUAUCGAACUAAAUAUGGAAUGAAAUCUUAUUGUUAUCUUCAACACUUGUUAAAGAAAAUAUCAAAAGAUGCUCAUUUAUUGAUAAGGAUUACAUUCAUUCUAUGUGAACAAGAUAACACUUAUAUAUUUUGAGUCGAAAAAUCUUCUAAUGACUUUUUCUCUUGUUUAAUUCAUGAUCAACCUUUCAACACAUUGUCUUGAAGGAGCACACGAUCCAAUUUUAUAAUUGCGAUCAUACUGGUUAUGUUUUGUUAGUAAUUAGUUAUGUUAUUAUUUGUUAGUGAGGGAAGUUGAACUCAUAGUCUCUUUCGUCUUUUCUUACAAAUUUAUUAAACUAAUUUUAUAUUUUCUAAAUCUCUUUCAUCUUUUCUUACAAAUUUAUUAAACUAAUUUUAUAUUUUCUAAGUAUCACUAGUGGAAAAGAUUGUACAAUCUUUUCCAUUCUUUUUUCUUUAAUUUCAUCACUAGGUUAAUUUAUAUUUCGGAUCAUACUAGUCCUGUGCUGAUAUGUCCAGAAAAGAUAUGUAUGUGAAAUUUUCUUGGAGGAAGAAAAGAAAAAUAUGUUCUAUGAACUAUGUUCACUCUAAACUAUUAUCACGAUCGAGAAUCUAUGGUAAAAGUUAGCAAAAUACUGUCAAGACGUUGGAGCUGGUUUUUAGCAAUCAUACUGGUAAUAGACCAAUCUUUAGAACCACUGCAGUAACCACAGUAACGUUAAAAAAAGAGCAGAUCAGUAGUGCAUCGUAAAAGAGUUACACUCAUUUACGAUGUUUGAUGUUUGAUGAUGCAGAAAACAUGACACAGUAAAUCCAAAAAUACAACAGUAAGCGACUAAUGAUAAAGAUAAUUAUCAUUACAACGACCUCAUAUCCAUUAUAUUAGAUUAUUAUAAGGCUGAUCGGAUAAUUCAUCUAAACUGAAAUCGCAUUAAAAGCUUCACAGAUUUAUAUUUGUCACCCUUUUCAUCAUACAGAGGGACAGAUCGGAAUCCAGAUUUUAGUUCUGAGACUGGCAAACACGUCUGUCCACCGAAGUCAUCCUUUUGAUGCUUAUCUUCUUCUCGAACUUCUAUGCGGAGCAAGGCCAGCUCUGGAACAGUCAAAGGGAAAUCAAACUCUUCGUUCCAUACAGGAAACCAAUUAUUUGAAAUUACACUUGUUUUCUUCUUGAUCAUAUCAGCCGGAACUCCAACGAUACAAACCUGUGUAUGAAUUGACCAAAUGCUUAGGAUAUGGACUAUAAACUUGCUUCUAUCAAAAUUCUAGUCAUGGCCAAACAAUUUUUUUACGAAGUAGCCUGAUCAGAAGUAUAUAAAAUCCCUUAAGUAGUCUUAAAUGCAGUUGUAGAGGAGGUUAAAACAAACAUAAACAAAGCAAAUCCUCAAAUCCAGUUAUAAAGUGUCUCCUCAAACCAACGAAAGUUCAACUAUUUCCAUUGUUAUAUUCAUACUUCCCAAUCUGCAAUAUUAGCAUAAUUGCCCCACUCACCUUUACAUAAAAGUCUGGUGGUGAGUAACUAUCAAAGUCUGAUGGGCUGAAAUCUAAGCUCCAACCUUUUCCCAGGUAGACUUUUACCUACAGGCAGAGUAAGAUGCUCAGAACAUGUCACCAAACUAAAUGUUUUUCUUUCCAAUAUAAUAUCUCACCUUUAAUGUUUUUUUCACUGGCAAUGCUAUUUUAGGAUCAAAAACCUCAUCAUGCGGACCUUUUUGAAUUAGAAAGUCAGGCUUUUUCACAUAACCGCACCCACCAUUUGAUCUAAACAUUCCUUGCAUGUACCAAAGUGAUUUACCAUGCCCCUAAUAAAGGCAACACCAAAUCAGCAAAAGUCAGUACGCAACUUAUUCUAUUUCAAUAAACAUGUAAGAUUGCUUCACAAUAAAGAAUUGUCAAAAGAAUUAACAUUGGCUCAUUAGUUUCAUGCUUUAAAGUUCACAUAUAUAAUAAAUACUAUAUGUAGUACGGAUUAAAGUUAUAUAGAGUGAAUAACCCUUUGAAAAAAGGACACGAUGAUCAUUAGUCUCAAACCUGCAUGUUAAACGCAACCAUCUGAGCUCCGUACGUCCACCCUAUGUGUGGUUUGUAAUUUGAGGAGGUGAGACGUGUUCCUUUUGGAUACACUCUGAGAAUAUUGUUGUGCGUAAAUCUAUAAAAAGGCAUAAAAGUAUGUCGUAUAGUUAGGAAGUUUUAAACUACCAAAUAUAUAAUUAUUUGCAUCUGCCAUUACGAAACUUCAUCGUUAGAAACCUACCUGACUAUAUCAGCUCCAUAAGAUUCAGAAGCCUUUUCAAGUGCUUGCUCACUCAAGCUUAAGCGCCUAACUUUACCAGCAGCUUUUAAUUCAUCCUGUAUUUCACCCUUCGGUUUCCCAGCAUGGAUUGUAAUCAAGCGUUUGUACUCUGGUGCACUCUGGUAAAGGGAUUUUUCAUCAUAUAUGCAUUCAAAUCAUCCUCAGUUAGGAGGGAAAGGAUUACGUAAACAUGCAAAAGAUAUAAUAUAACAUAGCUCAAGUAGUUGGGAACUUAAAAUUUAGGUAGAAAGUGAUCGAAACCAUCAACUCACAGAACUAUUGACAAAAUGAAUAAAAGAAGAUGAAGCCUUGUAGAAAGAGACUCUACACAUUUAUUUCUUAAGAAACUUUGAAAAGUUUAAUAAUUUUUCUUAUCUUCCUCUGUUUUCUUAAAGAUGAUUUUACCAGAAGGUCAUAAGUCUCAAUUCUAUGGAUUUAGAGAAAAACUAUAAAUCAACUUCUGUCAAUAUGCUCACCUCAUUAUCCGUUCUUUGUUCAUUAGCAUUUUCUCGCAAUGAGGAAACCUCGUCAGCUGAUUCCUUUUCACUGGAUUCAAGAAAUUCUUUUGGUGGUUUUGUUGAUAUAAGAAUUCGACCUUUCAAUGAUUCUGGUGAGGGGAAUUCCAUCAGGGAAUCUGUCUGAGGAUAAUAAAGCAAUUCUCCAAAUACUUGGGUGGCCAUCUACGUACAAGAAGAUGGAAACUCAGCAUUCAACACCUAAUAAAAUAGGAAUGUGAAGUAGAUGCUUUGGGGGAAGAGAACAAAAAGGAGUCCGACCUUUGCAACUUUGGCUUGAAGAUCUGGAGUAAGGUGAUCUUCUAAAGUUAUAACGAGUGGGUACUGAGAUUUAACAAAGGCAUACUCUUUUAUGGACUUCAAACAUUGGAGGAGUGAGACAGGAGUGGUAAGAGUCCUGCAGAAAUUCAGUAGAAGCGUCUGUAAGUAGUUUUACUACAAUAAAUAUCUCAAAAAACUAGAAUGAUCGAAAUAUUUGAAAGGACAAUCAAUUGAACAGAGGAUCAGCUAGCACCUUCCAUGAACUACAUCGAUAUCAUCUUUAUCUGAAUUUGGCCAUAAAUCCAGUUCAAUUACUCGCACACCUCGUUGCAAAGCCUUUAUGAUUGGCACAUCACUGCAGUCACUGCUCAGUUGAUUCCCUGUCAGAUAGGAAUUGUGCCCAGUGUAUAUGAAAUAAUGUGAAAUUGGAGCAUUCAUAUCAUGAUGGACCUGGAAUUGUUAGGUUGUAUUCAUAUCAUUUAGCAAAUAUGCAUUAAAACCCAAAAUUACUCCCUAUUGAAAUGGGAAGACAGCAUAUACGUACUAUAUGCAAAAGAAUAAGACAAUACUAAAUUCACCAAAAUAAAUAAAUACACAAUGCACCACUAAUUUUGUACUUGAUAUUUAUUGAAUGGAUUCCUUCCAUAAUUUACUGUUCAUGUUGAUUGUUCAUUUAACAUUGUCAGAUUAACAAAUGAAACACCACAAUUGCUAAAGUUUGAUCCAAUGCAUGAGAGAUUCUUGCAGUAGAUGGCAAUUGAAGACUAAUUGGGAUCGUGCGCAGUAUAUGCAACAAUUCUUCCAAAUAUUCCUGGGGAUUUGCUGGAUUUGAAAACAGGGCAUGGACAGAAGAAAACCGUGUGUGAAUAAAUUAUAAAUUAGAGAACACUUAUGCUCUCAAUUACAUAUUUUCUUCUUCUUCUUUUUCUAAUUGCGAAAGGAAAAAGAGCUGAGAAGUUGUCAGGUAAUUUCAUUUUGUUUCUAGUAAAACUGCGUUUUUAUCAAUUACGAAGAACAAAGAGAUAAAAAUAAAAAAAAAUAAGCAAAAACAUAUACAAAAGUUACACAACUAAUUAUCAACUCAUAAAAAUUUAAUCCAUAUAUGUCGAUUAUAAAAUUAUAAUUAAUAAUAUAUUUUACACAAUUAGUUAUAUAAUUGAUUUUAGAUUAUAAUUUAAUUAUAUUAUGAGUACUUUAUGAAUAUUUCCCCAUUGAUCGUAAAGUUAUCAUUUUGUCUAUUACUCUCUCUUUUUUCUCUUUUUCAUUUUCCAUAAAACAAAAUCUUUGCAUGAAUUUCUCUCUCACUUAAGAAUGCCAAAUAAACUCCCAUUUAUAUGUUUCAAUUUCUUAUUUUGUUUUAGGGAGAAACCUUCCGUUGAUUAAACACACAUACAGAUAAUAUUCAAUCUUUAAAUUAAUCCAAUAUGGGAUAGUAACCUGUAUGUAUAUAUGUAUAGUCUUCGUAUUGUUUUUGUUUAAAUUAUUAAAAUAUCUUUAAUUUAUUAGUUUAUUUAAAAUAAUUUUUUUUCAUUAGUUUCUUUGAUCAUUUGUUUUGUUUCAUACGAAGAAUGUCUCUUUUGCUAUACAAAUUUUCAUUUCCAUUUUCAUAUAUAUUACUAAGGAUACAUAUGAUUAAAAUUAUUUAAUACAUUAUCUCUAACAGAGCCUCAAAUAUAUAUUUUUCUUUCUGUAAUUUUAUUAUGUAAAUGAUGCAUUGUAGGUUAAGAAAGGUAAUUAUCAAUUUUAUCGAAUUAAAUUGUUUUUAAAACGUAUAUUUAAUUAUUUUUGUACUUCUUUUGUAUUUUUAUUUAUGGUUUACUGUUUAACACAUGGAUAUAUUUAUCAACUGAGAAUAUUCAAUUGUAUAAUUAUUAUUUGGUAGUACUCUUUACUAAGAUUUAGUAUUAAAUUAUUGAUAAUAUCAUUGAUUUUUAUUUUGUAAAAAAAUUAUGUAAUUAAUAUUUGAGACAUUACAACAGUCGCUAUAGAAGUGUAUCCAUGACAAGGACAGCAACAAAACACAAAUUUCAUACUCAUAUAAUUAAAGACACAUACACUCUCCGCUAUCGUCCUUACCUUUUCUAACUCUUUCUCUCUUCAAUUCUUACUUUCAUUCUUAUCUUUUUCACAAUGAUCCUACCAUGAACACACGUCUUAGCUUUUGAAGUAAAGUUCAUUUUUGCUUUGUAAUGAAAAAAUUUCAAUCUUUCCUAGUUUUAGUUGCUGAAAACUUUUAUCAUCUCAACUAAUUUCUAAAAUUAAUUUGAUUAUUUUUUGAGUUAAAAGCUUGAAGAAUUUUUUUUAAAACGUUAAUUUAAUUUACUUCAUUUUAGUUGAGUUGAUUUUUUUGUAAGAGUUGUGAAUAUAAAAAUAUACUAUAAUUUUAAUUGUUAUAAAGAAAUAUUUAUAUAAAAUUGAAUUGACAUUUUACUAAAUAGAUUGGCUUUGAUAUAGUAUCAUUUCAUAUGGCAUCAUGUUGUUAUUGAAUUUAUGGUAUAUUUAAUAAAUUAAUUUUGGCAGGUUUUGUAUGAUAUGUGUGAGAUCUAUAUGAUUUCAAUUUUUUACAGCAAAAACGUUUCAAAUUUCGACAUAAAGUAAAAAUCAAAGCAAGACAGGUCUUUGUUUUUAAUAUGGUUUUUGUUCAAGCAAAUAUUUCUCAUUCAAACAAAAAUCAAAGCGAAAAAAAAAAUCAUAUGUUUAAUAUAACUUUUAUCAAGAGAAAAUUUUGUGAUAAAAUUCUAUGAAUUUUGAUGGCUUGUCUUGAAAAUGAUGAUGAUUAAUUAGUAUAUGAAUUUAAAUAAGACUUGAUUUAGUGUAUGGUAUGUUGUCUUUUAAUUAUAUUAAUUGAGUUAACUAAAAUUGCAUCAAUAUGUAUCAAGUAAAUAAUCUAAUAUAGAUUUUUUCCAUAUCUCAUAGUCUAAAUCAUGUAAACUAAGUCGUCAUGUGGUGAGAAGAGGAAGUAAAAAAAAAAAUCCGUCUAAACCUAAUGAAAUGUGCUAUAUGUAUAUAAUUUUUCUUAACUCACUUUAACCCUUGAUUUUUAUAUUAUGAUAAUGAUUUAAGUCUUGAAUUAAAUAGGAUGUUAAAUAUGCCUUAUUACUUUUAUUUGUGUUUAUAUUUAUUAUAAAUUUAUAACACUUAAAUAGAUGUAUUAUAAAUAUAUGAAAUUUGAUGACAUUUGAAGAGACUUGUCAUAUAAUAUAUUUAAUAUGAGAUAAAUAAAUUUAGAUCCUUCAUUUUUAAUUCUUUGUAUUCUUUUAUAUUAUAUUUUAAGGAUUUUUAAUCAAACGGAGUUAAUUUGUUUUUUCAGAAUUACCAAUUUGGUUUCUCUUUCAAAAAAUUAUCAAUGAAGAUCAAGUCGUCAAAACAAUUAUCAAAGUAAGUCAUGAUUUUUACGUAAAUUAAAACUUUGAACUGAAGUCAUUAUUUUCUAGAACCGUCAAAAUGGGUCACAACCCACCAGCUAACCCGGCCUGUUACGGGUCCCGUCACGGGUUCGGGUCGGGUUGAGUUUGAAAAAUACAACCCACUUAUAUGCGGGUCAGAUUUCAACUCGACUCAUUUAGACCCGGCUCAUGCGGAUUGAACCCGUGGUGUGUCGGGUUGCCCACCAACCCACCUACCUAAUUUUAUUUUUUAAUUUAUUAUUUUAUUUAUGAAACCCUAACAAAUAAAAUACUUUCUUCACUCACUGUGUAUACCAAAAAAAGUAACCUAUGCUCUCACAAAUCACUCUCACGGUACUUGCUCUCACCCUCACUUCACUAAAAUUGUUCAAGGAGCAAGUAAAACACCCUUCCUUUUUUCUUCUCUUUUCUCUACAUUUUUGUUUUCUCACUUCUCUUCUUUUUUUCAAAAACCCUAUAGUGACAAAAACAGGAGUUUCAAAUUUGUUUUUUGUUCUGGGGGAUUUGAAGACAUAAAAUGAUUUUUUCAUGUUCUGACAUGCUUGUAUCAGAUUUUGUUUGUUUUAUUUAAACAAUUUGAGUAUACAUUAUUUGAACGAACUCUUUUUGAUAUCUUUGAAUUUGGAAAAUUAUGUUACAAAUUAAACUAUUAUUUUUUUGUUGAUGUUAUUGAGUACUGGUUCUCUUUUUACUAAUAUUUUUUUAUUGAUUGUCGGAAUUGUUCUGAUAUUAGGAAAAUCUUUAUUAGUGAAUUUGGAGAGAACAAAAACAAUGGUCAAGGGUUACAACAAGAACAAAAAAUGAUGAAUAUAAGAAACUUAUUUGUAUGUUUUUUGUGUUUGUUUUUUAAUGACAUUUGGAUUAUAUUGUACUUUUUAUUAUUAUUUUGAAUUGUCUUUUAACAUAAUUUGUUGAGAGUGAAAAUUGUUUAAAUUUAAAUUACAAAAAGUUUGUAUUUUUCUUUAUUUUAAAAAAAUGUAAUUAAAUAGGCUAGUGAGCCAACCCGUUUACCCACUAACCAGUGAUGGGCCGAGUCGGGUCGAGCCGGAUUACCCAUUUUAACAACUCUAUUAUUUUCUGUUACAAUUUCAAUAUAAUUGAAUUUGAACGAAAAUUAUCCUGUGACGACUUCUUAAAAACUUUAAUUUACAGAUAAGUCUAACAUAUACUUUUUCAACUUCGGUUUCAUAUAACAAAGUCUUUAAUUAUUAUAAAAACUUGUUCAAAACUAACGCGUGUUUAAAAGAAGCCAGAUGUGUAACAUUAAAAAAAACAUCAACCUCUCUUUUGGUUAAAAAAUCAUACGUUUCAAAGCCAACGAACAUUGGUUUGCACUUUCCUAAACAAAAGUACUAAACCAGACUAACACGCCAUAGUCAACUUUUUCCAAACAUACUCAUAAUUAUUUUGUUUACAUGGUCCCAGUUCUUAUCUACAAGAGUGGUAUGCUCACUGUGCAAAAAUAAUUCAAAGUAUGACGUAAUAAACCAAUAUCGUUUUAUAUUUUUUUAAAGAGGACCCAAAUUUCAAAUAUUAGCUCAUAUAAGUGUGAAUUGCGCUGUUCGUGCAAAGCAGAAGAAAGUGCGAAAAACUCACCAGUAAAAUCCAUUUUUGAUGUCAUAUUUGUUCUGGAUAGUGAAAAACAAUUUGGACUUUUUGAUAAAUAUAUAGACCGAGAUAAAUUAAAUUGAGAUUUUAAUAUAUAUUAAAUAAAUUUUAAUUAAAAAAUUAUUUUCAUUCAAAAUUAAUUUUACAAGCAUUCCCUCAAACACAAAUUAAUCUGGAUCAUAUUUUAAUUCCUUUAUAUUUUUUCAAAUUACACGUUACAAAUAAUAUUUAUGACAAUACACAUUAGUAAUAUUACUUUUAAAUAAUUAAAAAUCAUGCAAAAAAAAAAUACAAUAAAAAGGAGUCUAAUUAACCCUAAUUUAUUUGAAUUUGUUUUCUCUCUUGGUGGUUCUUUUCUAUUUCGGCUAGUAAAAUAAAUCAAAUCAUGACGUUGAGUAGGGCAAAAAUGUAUGAUCCUAAAGAAAAAGGAUUGGAAACUUAACUUUUCUGGGAAACAAAGAGGAAUAACAAGAACUCACCUGAGAUUUCAAGGGGACGUUCAAAUCGCUGUCUUGCAGGAAAUGGAAGAAGUAGUGGAGAUCGAAUCCAGUUUCCCCGUCCUCUUUCCUCGAUUGCUGGAGGAUCUGCUCGGAAUCGGAAACGGUGCAGUCCACUUCGCCCUGAUGCUCCGCAAGGAACCGGAGCAGUUGGUCGGCGGACAUGGAGGAGGCGCCUUCGGAGAAUUCAGAAAAGGCUUUUUGGACGUCGGGCGGUGGUUCCGGUUCGGUGACGGUGAACUUUCUGUUGAAGCAGCUGAAGACUUUGUAGUUGUGAGUGGCCAUGGUGAAAUGAAACCUAAUCCAAUGGCAUGAAUAAAAUAGAGGAGAGAGCGUUCUUGGAUUUGGUGUGUUUCAGAAAAGAAAUGGCGAUCAAAGUGAUCACAUUAAUGCAAUUGUAAUAUAAUACGUGUGAGUGUGAAGGUUACAUCAGGAUAGAAACGAAGGACACGCACGGCCAUUAAUGGAAAAAUAUACAUUUUUAAUAUUUUCAAAAUAAUUUAUAAUUACCUUUCAAACAUUUUUUUCUCCGCCACAUAAAAGUUAAUUUAUUAAAAGGUUUAAAAGCUUUAAAGAAUUUUUCUACUUUUGGUUUAUAAUUUUAAAAUAAUGGAUAAUGUUUCAACACAUAGUAUAUAUAUAUAUAUAUAUAUUUAAUGUACACGUUCACUAAUUAUUUACAUUUUUUAUAUAUUUAAAAAUAAGAGUACUAAAUAUAUGUAACUAACUGAUUUAGGCUAGAUAUUAUGGUUUGAAUUUUAAUAAUCAGUCUUGAGCUAAUCAAUAAAAUCUAAAUUAUUUAAUUAGUUGGUCUUACCAAUUUUUAACAUGUUGAAUCGUUGAAUAUCGGUUUUAGUGUCGGCUGAUAAACCUAUAAUUAAAUCAAUCAUCCUACCUUUUUCCUUUGCCAAAUAAUUCAAUAAAAAAUCGUAAUAAGAUAUUUUUUUACACCUAAGUCCACGAUCUAAUUUCAAACAUAAAUUUGGACUUAAAAAAUGAACGAAUUAUUUCGAGCUUGUUUAUAAAGAAAGUGAAAUAUUGUGUUCUAGUUUAUAAAAAAGGGUUAAUUUUGUUUGUUUGAUUGAAAGAAUGUGAAAUAUUAAUAAUUUUAAAAAAUUAUAGUAGGAAUAAGAAUUCUCAUGUAUUUCUCUCUCUUUUAUUUUUUAAUAAUUUUUCUCUCUUUUAUUUUUUAAUAAAAUAAUCAAACUACAUUACUCUUAAAAUAUUUUUUAUCUAUUUUUUCUUUAUUUAUACAUUAUCAAACAAUUAAAUAUUAAAUUUUUUUAACUUAUUUGUGUUAGAAGUCCCACAUCAGAUAGAGAUAAGACCAAUUUAUAAUAUAUAAGUGGGGUGCAGACUUCAUCUUACAAGUUAGUUUUGUGGGAUUGAGAGUUAGGCCUAUAACCUAUUUCUAACCAUUUGUUUUCUAUUUUCUUUGUAAUUACUUCUAUCGUAUUUCUUUAGUGAAAAACAUUUAUUUUUAUGUAACAUGUUAGGUUGCAAUUAUGCAUUGCAUGAUGUUUGUUUGCUUAGGAGUCAUGUCGUGGUCAGAAAUUUUAAUGAAGGUUGAUGAGAAGUGCUUUUCAGUAGCAUCGUUUUUGGUCAAAUAUAGGAACUAGAUGCGGUCCCAAUAGAAACUUAUGGUUCACACGACUAAUUACAAGUUACAUGAUAUGGAGUUUUCUUUCUAACACAAAUUCAAAAUUAAAACACAAAUACUCUUUUAAUUCAUUAAAAUAAUUAAAAGAGUUGUCUUUGGUGGUUUUAAUAAUAAACUAAAGUUUGUAGAUUAAAAAGGCUUAAGUGAAAUGAUUUAAUUAAAGUGUUCUUUUAACUAAUCUAGAUACUCUUCUUUUUAUUUCAAGCAAAUUGAAAAUAAUAAAUUAAAAGGCUUAAGUGAAAUUAAUUAAUUAAAAUGAGCUUUUAACUGAUAAAAAAUUGAGUCUGGUUUAAUUAAAAGUCUUUUAACUAAUAUAUAUAUAUAUAUAUAUAUAUAUAUAUAUAUAUAUAUAUAUAUAUAUAAUUCAUGAGUCUGGUUUAUUUUUGCAAAAUUGAGUAUUUGAUGAAAAACAGCUUAGAAGCAUGCUAUAAUUCAUUGAUUAACUGUAUAAUUCACUGAUUAACUGUAUAAACUACGAACACUGAACCAUGUGAUGUUGAACAUAGACAAAUUUUGCUACUGUUUCUAGCUGGUUAAAGGUUCUUUCCAUGGAUUGCGUUUUACAACAAUACAAAAUAUUUAAAUGAGUGAUAUCGACAAGUUAUUUAAAGUUUCAAUCUUGAAGCGCAUUAGAAGUUUCACAGAAUUCAAUUUCUUUCCCUUGGGGUCAAACAGAGGGACUGACCGGAAUCCCUGCCUGAGCUCUGAUACUGGCAAACAAGUUUGUCCUGCAAAAUCAUCUUUUCCCUUAUCUUUGUCCUUCACUUCUAUCCAAAGUAAAGCAAGCUCAGGAACCCUCAAUUCGAAUUUAAACUCUUCAUCCCAAACAGGAUACCAUGUGUCCGUAUUUACACUUGUUUUCUUCUUCACACAAUCAGAUGGCACUCCAACAAUGCACACCUGUCCAACAAUUUGUUCAAACAUUGACACUUUAUUAGGAAAAAGCACAAAAAUGAUGCAAUUUUAACUUCAAAAUUAUAAAAAUGGUUGAAUUCUCAAGUCAUACCAACUUUCUACAACUUCAUUAUAAAAAUGUCGUGUGAGUUUGAAACUUUUCAAUGUAUUAUAUAUAAUUCUAAGUUGUGUUAACUUGUACAACUUGAUAUAUUGUGUUAUAAACUAAAAUCGUGUCAACUUGACAGUGUAAUGUGAUAUAAACUGGAGUUAUGUUAACUUGGUAUGACUUUAGUGUAUUGUGAUAUAAACUGAAAUCGAAUUAAUUUAGUAUAACUUAGUGUAGUGUAAUAUAAAUUGAAAAUCUAGCAUUGAAUUUGAUGGUAAAAGAUCAUUCAUGAUAUUAGGUUCAACUUAGUUUGCAACAAUAUUGCUCGAAAUCUAUCAAAUAAUUGUGCAACUGACCUUUGUGUAAAAGUCUGGUGGAGAGAAUCGAUCAAAGUGUGUUGGACUGAAAUCUAAAUUCCAGCCAUCUCCUUUGUAUACUUUUACCUGUUGUUGAAUAUGAAAAUGUGCGGAUGUUAUGAAACAACUCAAUUUCCUUUUAGCAAAGUGAAUAGGUAUGUGCUUACUCUUAAGAUCUGUUUCACUGGCAGUUGUUUUUUAGGAUCAAACACCUCGUCAUGUGGAAGUGUUCGGAUUAUAAAUUCAGGCUUUUUAACAUAACCACACCCUCCAUUUGCUCUGAACAUUCCCUGCAUCAACCGGAGUGAUUUUCCAUGCCCCUGUCACAAGACAACAAGAGUUAAUGCCGGAAAGGUUUAUAUUCCCGAUCUUUCUAGCAUAUUUGGAUAAAGACUCUGCUUUUAACCCAAGAGCUUAAACUUUUAGGUAAAAAGACUACUCCUUGACACAUUUUCUAUAACAAUCACACGAUAAUACUUCAACAUGCAUAUUGUAUUGCACUAGCACCAUGAUAUCAAAUUAAAAUGUGCUGAGACACCAUUUUAUCUGAGACUUUGCUUUACUGCUCAGUCAUGAAUUUCCAACCUGCAUAUUGAAUGCAACCAUCUGAGCUCCAUACAUCCACCCUAAAUGUGGCCUGAAAUUUGAGGAUUUGACACGUUCUCCUUUAGGAUAAACCCUGAGGAUAUUUUUCUGUGUGAACCUGGAAAGGAUAACAAUUUCUAUCAAACCUUGUGUAAGUGUGCAAUGGGUAUUGUCAAGUAUAGAAAUGCUGAUAAUCUCUUCAGCUACUGGUAACGCUCAAAUAAGUUUGAUAGGUACCUAAUAAGGUCGGCUCCAUGAGACUCAGAAGCACUUUUUAGUUUCUUCUCACUCAAACUCAGCCGUUUAACUUUAGUAUCAUCUUUUAGUUGAUCCUUGAUGGAACCUUUUGUUUUCCCGCCAUGGAUUGUGAUCAAGUGUUUGUAUGGCAAUACACCUUGUUUGUUUGGAAUGUUAUUGCUUGUGUUUAUAUUUUCCCGAUCUGCAUCACGUGCAUUCCCCUGCCAAACGAGAGAACGUGAAUUCAAAGGACUAACAAUUGAAAUUUCACCUGUGGUUUAGCAUGUAUAAUUUUAUUUUUCUACUUUUACACCUUGGUUAAAAGUGAUGAAAGUAUUUUUUUCUCUCACCUUGUCCUCAGUUAGUUUAGACACAGAAUCUGACAAUUCCAGUCCCCAAAAUUUUUCGUCAGGGGUUUCACAUUCAUCUGGCCCAGCUUUGCUUUUGCUGAUACUAUCAGAUUGCUGAAAUUCCUUUGGGGGUUUGGUUGAUAUAAUUAUCCGUUUUUUCAACGAUUCUGGUGAGGGGAAUUCUGUUAAAGACUCUGUUUGGGGACAAUAAAGCAUUUCUCCAAAUAUUUCAAAUGCCAUCUGCAUGAUUAGAGGAAAAAAGCAAUAAAAAAUGGUCUAGAUCCCUAGUUUUUAUUUUCUUAUUUAGAGGGUAAUUGACAAUGAGUGCUUACUUCUGCAAAUUUAUCCUGAUGUUUUGGUUUUAGGUGGUCUUCCAAAGUAAGAAUUACUGGAUAAUCUGAUUUAUAAAAUGCAUAUUUCUUUAUGGAUUUUAGACAUGUGCGUAGGGCGACUGGAGUGGUAAAAGUCCUGCAUUGAUGAAAAAUAUACGUAAGAAAACAAUCAUCCAACUCUAUAAGACGAACUACUUAUUCCUUUUUUUCCUCUGCUAAGAACUCUCACUAGAUAUGGUUUUAAUAACCAGCUAGUACCUUCCAUGAACCACUUUAAUGCCAUCUUUAGUUGAAGAUUUAGAUGGCCAUAAAUCUAGUUCUAUUACUCGUACACCUUGUUUCAAAGCCUCGAUAAUUGGCUCGUCACUGCUCUCACUAGUAAAUUGAUUCCCAGUCAGAUAGGAAUUGUGUCCCGUAUACAUAAAAUAAUGUGACAUGGGAGCAUUCAUAUCAUGAUGUACCUGGAAAUAUAUAUGAUUUCUUAUUAAUUGUCAGGAAAGGUUAAAAUUUAGAAACUCAUUUAUAAAGUCCAGUGCAAAUUACAGAUAUUGACAAUAAAAGAGACCAUAUGAAACAAAGAACAUAUGUUGCUAUAAACUUUUGUGAUUUAAGAAUGUAUUUGAAUAAGCACACGUUUCUGUGUGCAGCAAAAUUUCUGUGCUCCAAACACUAUCCCGUGACCAGACAACUCUCUGCAAUCAAGCAAGUUAUAUAUGGCAAAAUUUUGUCCACUUGUCAAUCUAUGUUUGUCUAGUCUUUGGUAUCACCCGAGUUAACUUUUCAUACACAGUCAGGGUAAAAACUGUUACACUAUCAAUACACAGAAAACAGACAAACUCUCCAUAUACUGUAAUCUAUCUUGAACGACAAUAUUGACAUUAUUAUUACAUGUAAGUGAAACUCAAUAAAGAUACGUAGAAACCAGAAAAUAAACAAAGCAAGACAAGACAAGGUAAGCUUUAGCAUUGUGUAAAUAAUUAAUAAAGUAGGAAACAGAAUGUUGGCAUCUUGAAGAAACUAUCUGGUUCUGUUUGUAAGUCCUAAAACAGUCAGAGAAAGAGCAAACCUUGUCAUUCAAGGCGGCAUUGAAAUCAUGCAGAAGCAGAAAAUCGACGAAGUCAUUGAGAGUUAACCCUUGUUUAUUGUACACAUCAGGAAAUCUUGCAGAUCUGGUUCUAGAGCUAGAACUACAACUCCGUGCUACUAAAAAACUCUCAAUUAUUUUAUCCAAAUCCUCUUCGCCGCAGAUAUUAUCUCCCUGGUGCUCCACAAUGAACCGAAGAAGCUGAUCCUUGUUCAUUUGGCUCCCUCCUCUCGCAAACUUGGAAAAGGCUUCCUUAAGGUCCAAAGGAUGUUCUGCCUUGCAAGCUUUCUCCCUUUUGGUCAAGAAAUUUAACAUCUUGAUCUUGAAUGCUUCAAUUUUCAUUCUCACCCUUCCCUGCCAACAGAAAUAUAUAUAUAUAUAUAUAUAUAUAUAUAUAUAUAUAUAUAUAUAUAUAUAUAUAUAUAUAUAUAUAUAUAUAUAUAUAUGGAACUGUGAGAAAACAAACACCUGACUAACCAAUAGAAGAAUGGUAGAUUGACACACCUCUUUAACAUGAUUUUACAAUGAGAAAGUGAAAAAUAACUUGUGAAAUGAGAGUGUAUAACCGUGUAAAAAUAUUCUCUCUAACCAAUAUGUACAGUCCAAGAGUAAGACAAAUGGGUCACCUUGGUAAAAGAGCCUCUGUUUUUCUCUGGUUUCAUUGCUUAAAAAACCUUUGUUUCCUGCGUCUUACUAAGGAAGUUCUAUUGUGCAGGCUGGGUCUGCAAAUUUGAAUAAUUAUACAUUUAAGCAUCCGAUCAAAGUCGAAGAAAAUAAAGUUAGUAAAUUUAAUGUUCACACAAAAAAAUUAUUUCUUUAUCUUUUUCCAUGAGGUUAGCCAUUAAAAUAAAAUUAAUGCAUGGACCUGAAUAUAAAAUGGACUUUGAUGAAAGCUGUUGGAAAGGUUAUUUUAAUUCAAGUUGAUGCUUUGCACAUUGUCAGACCAGUAAAAGAAACGUUUUUAUGUUUCUACUUUUGUAAUAAAACUGGGACAGUACUACUACUGACUUCUGGUUAGGUGGGCUAUGUUCCAUGUUCCCAUUCACAUUCACAUUCACCAUUUUUACAAAGGACAAUCCUUUUAAAGUGAAUAGGGUCACUUUAAUUUAUAAAAUCUUCUAUUUAACAUAAUUAUACAAAGGAAUAAUUCAAAAUUUUCUAUUAAAUGUAAUUUCAGUUUUAGUAAAAUACUUCCUUAUAAUUACCAUUUAAUGCUCUGUUUGUGUUGUUGGAAACGGAUAUCCAAACAUUUCAGAAGUAUGCUUCCAUGGUGGGAAAGUGUCUAAGGUUGUUAGUGUUUUGAGAUAAAACCUAGAGUUGUUGGAUUGACUAGGUUAAAAUAUUAAUUGUGAGAAAGUCCACUAAUUAAAUUGCAUAAAUGAUUAAAAUCUUAUAAUAAGAUGAGUGCACAUUGAAGGCAAUGAAUGCGUGGUGGAGACAUUGGAGAACGUCCGUUACGUGUUUUUGAACAAAAAGAUGAACACACCUUUGCAAGGCAAUAAUGUAUGCCUCUGAGUCUGACAAUUUUUGGCGAAUAAGCGUUGGAGCGAAAGCGUUGAAACUGCUACUUGGGCAAAAAGCUGAAACGUAUUAUCGAUGCAAAUAAAAGGUGAGAGAAAUGUAAUUGUAGAAGGUUCAGAUGUAAAUGCAAAAGCGGCAUAAAUGCUUAGGGUUUCCUCAAGUACAUUUGGUUGAACUUUUGUUUAAAAAUCCUUUUAAUUAAAUACUCGUUCAAAAUCUGAUUUGUCAAGUUUUGAGUUUACAAUGUCAUUAAAUUUAAGGACAAAGGAGAUUCAAUAGGUAUUUUAUAAAAUCUGGCCUUUUAAAUUGAGUCUCAUUAAAAAAAAGUAAUUUUAUGGAGUAGUUAAAAAUUUCACAUAAGAACAUAUUUCAAUUUCCUAUAUAACGUUGCCACCAUCUAACUCGUACAUUUCUAUUUAAACGUUACAUUUAUUUAACAUCAAUUUUUAUGUAUGUGAAUAUAGUAUCUUACAUAAUUUCCACACUUCAUAGAUCAAAUUGGUUUAAAUAUGGUGUCAAACCUUCUCCUAAGUACCAUAUAAAAUUAGUCUAAAUCUAGACUUAUUUUAAUAUAUUAAUUAUAUUUCAAGUUUUAGAAUGACUAAGAGAAUGAUUACGAGAAUAAAAUAAUUACUCAUUUUAAAAGUCUAUAUUAAAAGAAUUUUAAAAAAAAAUUAAAUCUUUUUUCCAUUAUUUCACGAAUCUAUGCCAACACAGAUAUUACAUAAAUCCUAUCUUGGUGGACACACAUAUCCUUAUCCAACAACAAUUAUAGAUGUUUCGGUAGAUAUUUUUGAGGACCGAGACACUAACCUGGAUGACGCGGCUUUAUCUGAACUGGAUUGCUAGCUCAAACGUAAGUAGAGUGUGAGUGGAAUGUGAUUGAAAGAUGAUUAGAAGGUGAUUAGAAGUACAUGGCUUGUGGCCCUGACUCUAUUUAUAAUUUGUCUCAUGACCUUAAACUGAUAUAAGCCUAACAGAAUAAAAUAUAAACAAAAUAUAAUAUAAACAGACUUAUCUGAAAAUCUGGUUGGUUGUUAAAUAUCAUUAAAUAAAUAUUCUUGAUUAUCCCUUAAUUAUUUUAUCUUCUAUUUAUCAAUAUCUUUAAUAAGAUAUUCUUGAUUAUCCUUUGAUUAUUUUAUAUCUUUAAUAAGAUAUAUCGUAACCGCUCAACCCAGAUAUCAUAGUAUACAAUAGAUAAUGAUCAAUACUGGGAUUUUAGCUACAAACCCAAACACUACCAAUCUUUCUUUGCACUUAAGAAUUAUGUUUUUUUUUUCUAUUCUUCUCUUAAAACAUCAAUCUCCUCUGUUGCUUUGUUUUCUCUAUUUGAUUUAGAGUUUUCUAGUGUUUCUAAACACACCAAAAUCUAUCUCCUCUCUCUAUAUGUUAUUUAUAAAUAAUUCAACUCUAUAUCUAAUAUUUCUUACUUAUAAUAAUAUAUUUUAUUUUAGUUAUAAUGAGUCUAUCAAUAAUAUAUAUUAUUAUUAUUAUUAUUAUUAUUAUUAUCUAAUAAUAAUAUCUAAUUAUAUCAAACAAUAUCUCAAAAUAUCUUUUAAAUCAUAUAGCAAUACUUAAUAAUGAUUUCAUCUAAUAAUAAUAUCAUUUUUAAUCUUUAAACUCACAAAAAUUAUAUUUUUUAUUUUUAUUUAAUUAAUGGUUAACACAACAACAGUUAAAUCUUCUAAAAUACUGACAUAAUAUCUUUUUAUUAAUUUUUCAUAUUAUUUAAUUUUCAUGCUUUUUUUUUCUAUAUCCUCUAUUUUAAUUUAUUGCACCUAAUUAAUAAAAUGUAAAAGAUCAUUUUGUUUCUAGGCAAAAAUAUAAAUAAAUAACAUAACAAUGUUAUAAUAAAAAUAUACACUUAAAAAUACUAAUUUAAAAAAAAAAAUCAAAGUCUCAGAAGUAUUUAAUUUGUAAGACCUCUAUUUUAUGUUUACAUACAAAAUUAAUCAUAAUAAAUAAACUAAUGUCAUGUUAUAGAUAUAUUUUCAUUUUUUUGUAUAUGUUCGAAAUUUGUUAUUUUAAAAUACAAUGUUAUAAAAGAAACCAUUUCUAUGUGUAUAUUAUUUCUAUAGAAAAUACACUUUAGUAAAUAUAUUGUCCAAUAAAUCUAUGGAAGUAAUGAGUAUAUUGUCCAAUAAAUAUCAUAAUUAAUGUAUUACGUGUCAAUUUGAUUGUUGGGUAAUAUUAUAUGGAGUCAUUCAUUAAAGAUAAAAGAGAUAAGUAUUAUUAUGUAAUUGUCAGAUAUAAAUUAAGUAUUAAGUAUUUAUUAUUUUAUACGUAUUUAUUAUUAAAAACUGUAGUAUAUUAUUCAUUAAUUUAUAUCUGACAAUUAGUAUUAAGUAUUUAUUAUUAUUCAUUAAGUAUUUAUUAUUAUGUAAUUUAACUCACACUUUUAAAAAUAAAAAUAAAUGAAUAAUAUACUACAGUUUUUAAGUUUUAUUUUGCAUUUUUUUCCUUUUUGUUGAUAUGUCAAUAGAUCGAUUCUUAGUAAGUCAAUAAGAUUUUAGAACUGAAGGGACUGAAUUGAUCCAUUUCGCUAUUUGCUAAUAUAAUUUCGAUCUCUUAAUUUUUUUUCUGUAAUAAAAAAUUAGUGACACCUAAUAUAUAUAAUUAUAAACAAGCAAAAAAAUAUUAUGAUUAUUUUUUACAAAAUUUCUUUAAAUAAUUGAAAGUUUACAAAAUUUCUUUAACUAAUUGUGAGUUUACAAAAUUUUAAUUCUUAAUAAAAAAAACUGAAAAAAAAAGUAAUUACACCAUCGCAAAAUCUUUUAAAGUUUACAAUUUGUCUUUUAUAAAAAAGUCUUUAACAAAACUGUAAUCCCAUACAUCCUCAAUUCAAUGAUAUUUUUUAUUUAAAAAAUAAUCUAUUUACAUCUAACUAAAUUAUCCAAUCUAUUUUUUUUUUUUACUGAUUAGAUGGAUUAAAUUAAACUUUAGGUGAAUAGACACUUGGAAUAGUAUAAAUUAUUGAAACUAAAGAGACUUGUUUUUUAAUGUUGAGAAAAUGACUGAAAGCAGAUAUAGUAUAAAAAUGAAGAACAAAAGGAAAAUAUCCAAAAUAUUGUAUAUCAUCAAUAAAUUAUAAUUGUAAUUGGUUAACACGAACUAUGUUUAGCAAUUGAUUGAGGUUUUGCAUCAGCUGACUGCAAUGGCCUCCAGAGGAACUGGAACGCUGAUUUGGGUGUGUCUGUUAUGGCUUUUCUUCCUCUGCGCCACCAUUGCUUUCUUUCAGCUCCACUUGGUAGACAACAGAACCAAUCAACCUUCCUCUCGUGAUCAGCGCUCGGUAAGAAUUCAUCUUUCUGCCACUAUUUUCCUUCGUUCCCUUCUCUUGGGUCUGGUGGGUCAAUCAUCGAUUGAUGCAUAUUAGCCCUUUCCCUUGCUUUCUAGGAUAUCCCUUUGGAACAAGAUUUGGAGGGUGUCACUCACAAGGUGUAUUUCGACAUAGAGAUCCAUGGGAAAUUAGCGGGUAUGCUUCAUUCAUUAGAAAGAUAUUUCACUGUUUCGCAUUUAUUUGCAUAUGUUGGAUCGUGGCAAUUAUUUUUAUAUUAUGAUUUGGAAUGUGAUAGCAGAUUGAGUGUUGGCUGGGCUUUUAGUUGCAUUAAAUCGACACCCCACUCGCUGAUUUAAGAUGGUUUGUGUUAGGAGGCACUCUUUUAAUAAUUGUAUGUAAGGAAUUGUGCAUCAGAAGUGGUGCCAUGGUAUUCUCAAGUAUGGUACAAGGAAAAAAGGGUUAUUUCGUUCUGAAGUGGAAUUGAACGUGAAGGAAGCGCAUUCGCAUUGUGAUGGAUGAUUCGAUGGGUAGUUCUGUUUCACGGCAGUCUAAAAUGCAAACUUUUGCAAAGCACUAGCCAGCUGCCAUCUGAAUGGUUUAGGAUAUGUUUAGAUACAAGUUUCCAAAACAUUUGUAUGAAAGAAAAGUAAGAAGCAAAAAAGAUGAAAACAAUUUCUUCGUAUCCUAAAUUUAGUUAACUUAUCAGCUAAUUUGUAAUAGUGUUCUUAUGCUAACUUUUUGAAAAUUUGACUUUUAAUUUUUGUAUAAGUUAAUUUGUGCAAUAUUUUCCCCUUCUUUUCUGCUUAGUUGUUGUGUUCUUUAUACCGUUUAGGGCUUAAUUAUUAUAGCAUUACGUUAUGAUCCUGAAUGGGUCACUCAUCAGUAAAAUUCUUGUUUCUUACUUCAGGUCGCAUAGUCAUGGGCCUUUUUGGAAACACAGUUCCGAAAACUGUAGGUAAGGCAUGCUAUACUAUAAUGAAAUGCUUAAGAUGUUUAUUUAGACAGAUUUUAGUGUCAUGUACAGGAUUUGGGUACUGAUCAUGUUAUCCCUUUUGUGCAGAAAACUUUCGGGCGCUUUGUACGGGUAGCUCUGCAACUAUAGUUACUUUGGUUGUUUGACUUUAAAGUGGUGCCACUACUUAUGUUGCUGAUAGUUUUCUCCCUUAUAUAUAUGAUCAGUUGGAAUGAAUCUUGAUCUGUAUAAAUUCUCUGGGUAGUAAAAACUACAAAUUUGAACAGCAUCUCAUUUCAGGAGAGAAAGGAAAGGGAAGAAGUGGGGUGUCUCUUCAUUAUAAAGGAAGCACAUUCCAUAGGAUUAUACCAAGCUUUAUGGUCCAGGGUGGUGAUUUCACCCGUGGUGAUGGAAGAGGAGGAGAAUCAGUCUACGGUGAAAAGUUUGCUGAUGAAAACUUCAAGCUGAAGCAUUCUGGACCAGGUGAACUUCUAUGUCUUUGUUACUGGUAUUAUAUUUAUAUCCAUUAUUAUGACAAUGUUAAUAUAAUUUAUAUUAUUGCACCUCAUCACCCUUCUUGCAUGAUUGUCACCUUUCAGGAUAUUUAUCUAUGGCGAAUUCUGGACAAGACACCAAUGGCUCCCAGUUUUUCAUAACCACAGUUAAAACCAGCUGGUAUUUUUUUUCUUUUUUUACUUAUUUUGCAUACUCUUGAAUUUGAAUAGAAUUAACUUGUGAAAACCUUACUGUGACAGGUAUAAAUAUGAUUUUGUUUUUCUUAAUGGUUUUAUUGUCUUUGAAUAAAAUGCGAUUCUAGUUUUGGUGGAAAAGAAAAGUUUGAAAGGAAAAGUUUAUUCCAUUCUGUGCACAAGCAGAAUCUCAAUUAGAAAGGUCCAUUUUCCUUCCACUUAUCAAGAAUGGAUUUUAUUUUGAACAUAAAUGAGUAUAAAGCUGAACUUAGACAUUCAUGACUCAAGUUCCUAAUAUAGAAUAGACACGCUUUCAAACAUUUAUGUCUAAUAAAAAAGAGCCUGAGAUGAAAAGGUAACUUUUCAAGUUUUAAUGGCUAUUGUUGGGCCCCUUUUCAACAAACUCAUUCUUCCAAUUGUUUCUUGGAAGGCUGGAUGGACGCCAUGUUGUAUUUGGCAAGGUACUUUCUGGUAUGGACGUAUUGUACAAGAUUGAAGCAGAAGGAAGUGAAAGUGGCUCGCCUAAGAACAAGGUCGUCAUAUCAGACAGUGGAGAAUUAACUUCAUGACAUGGUUUAUUUAUACAAGUUGAGACUAGACUACUGUGUUAACGAGCCAUCUUUGCCCAACACCAUGAUUUACAAACUCUGCAUAUUUCAUCAUUCAGUAAAUGAAUAAGUUUGCAGAUAUUAGUGAAGUUGAAGUCUGGAUUGUUGUUUUUGCAUGUUUGUUUGUCCACACUAGUCUUGCUAUAAGGGAAAAAAAUUAGAGAUUGCCAGAGUGGGGAUACUCAUUAACAAUAUGCAUCAGGCUGUAGUGUGUUAUCUGAACUUUUCUUAUGUAAUAGGUACGAGGAUAAAUUAUUUAUUCAAGUGCAUCAUGUCGUGUCCUCUGCUACAUUCUCCACUUCCACCACUGCAAUUUAAAUUCAAAGUACAAACGGACCAUCACAAAAUAAAAUAAUAUUAACAGAAUGUUAUCUCUUACCUUGUCCUGUGAAAAAGGCAGAGCUCAUCAUUAUCCAGAUUUUACACAAAUGAUAUUGCACCACUCCAAGAGUGUUGUACUCCUUUAAAUGGACACUUUUUUUACAUUAUUUUCCUUCUAAGCAAACUGCUUUAACCAAUGAAUAAAUAUUAACAUAUCUUCGAAUUGAGAUUUAAACUUUUGAUUUGUCACAUUAUAAGAGACUACUUUCUUCAGGUUAUUCAACUUUGUCUUAACGAGGUUAGUUAGGCACUGUGAAUAUCAGAUCUUUCAAAACUGUUGUGUUGUAACUUCACGUGCUGAUGAUGGUCAAGUAAAGAGCAAAAGACUGAUCUUUUCGCUAUGAACAAAAGUAAAGAUUACAACUCGGAUGAAUCUUCCAUUCACAUGCACUGAGCAAGAACACGUUAUUAUCCAAUAAAAAAGUUAAUUUAUUGAUUUAGAAGUACAGAGAAAGUUACUGAAAAGUAGGACUAGAGUCGACAACAGUAAUAGUAUGUGUAGAAAGAAGUAAAUAAGACGAUAGUAUGCUUCGCUUUUCACCGUCCUUAUUGACAAUUGAUGAGGAAACAAAGCCAAAAAUUACCAUCACAAAUCUUCAACUUCAACAACAGACACAUACAUAUAUAGAGAGAGACAGACACGAUUAAAAAACAAGGAAACGUGACUGGAUUUAUUUGGAAGGGUUUUUGGAGCGGUGUUGGCAAACGUUGGUGAAAUUGGAGUUGAGAUCAGAGUAGAGAGAGACAACCUUGGAGAUGUUGCCGUUGAGUUCCUGAAUGAGGGACACGUUUUUUACCAUGUUGUCGUGCAUCCGAGACUGCUGGUUCUCGUUCACCUGCUGAAUCAGUUGCCGGUUCCGGUCCAGCACCGACUGCACCUGCCGGAACCCCUUGUUCAGGGUCGCCCACACCUCCGGGUCGCCGUCCUCCGCCUCCUCCACCUCCCCGUCUGACUCCCCGGUGGUCGUGCUCACCGUGGUGUUGGUGGCGGCGGGGUGGCGGCUGUUGUGGCGGCGGUGGUGCUUCUUGGAGCGGCGGUGGUUGGAGGGAUCUUCCAUGGUAGAGUCUGCAGCGGAGCAAGAUGAGUUCAUGUGCUGUGCAUGAAACAGAGAGACGACUCAACCAAGUCUUGUUGGGUUAGACAUUGCAAAUUUUUUGUGACUUCACGAGGAAGGGGCAAUGCUAUAUAUAUACAGCACUGCAAGGGCAAACAUGUUAUUCUUCAAAACUUCUCACAUUUCAGAUCAAAUAUUUCUUUUUAACAAGGCCAUUAUUUUUCUCUUUUUACUAUAAUCAUUUCUAUGUUUUAUCAAACGUAUUUAAUUUUAAUAGUAUGGUAUUAUUAUAAACAAUAAAAAUGUACUUCACUUAUCUGUAAAUUUUAAAUUUAAAUCAGGGCAAGGGUAUUAUGUUUUUUAUAGAAAAUAUCUGAUUUUGUUUUAAAUUGGUUCAAUGAUACAUUACUUUUAAGAUUUUUCUUACAAGUUUAUUAAACAGUGAAGACUAAUAAAAUUUGCAUUUUUCUCAUUUUCUUAUUUCAGUUUUUUAUAAAUCUAAAAAUAAUUUAAUAUUUAUAAUAUAUAUUUUGUUUGGAAUAUUAUUAUUUUAAUAUCACAGAAACAUAAUAAACUAUGAUAAGUGGCAUUUUGCCAAAUUUGGAUAUGAAACAGUAUGAGCCCCAUUUAGCAAUUGGAUCUACAGAGAGAAUCACACAUUCGCACGUGCCGUGAUACGUUUCAUAAGAUCAGCUUACGCGACUAUCCAUUGGCGCGUGCAGCACAACUUUACAGAUGCAAAUAAAGUAAGGAAAAGAAAUAUAGAUUUGGAAGGAAAAAGUCAAAAGUGCAAUAGAAUAUUAUUUUAGGCCAACUUUAGAUAGGAGUUUUAUAUUUGAUAAUUCUUUAAUAAAAUAAGUAUUCAAUUUAAUUCAUAGUGUAUUACACAAUCAAAUUUCUAAAAAGAAUUAGGCACAUAAAAAAUAAAUUAUAUUUAUUAAAAAAAUUAUUAUAAGUGCCAACAGUUUAUCGUAACUAUACUUUAUAACUGAAUAAUGCCACAAAGGUAUUAAAAUAUAUAUUUUUGUGAACCCUGAACUAAAAAUAUUUAAAUACAAUUUUUUAAAAUCUCUUCAAAUCCUAGCUUUAACUUUUUUUUAUUCAACUAAAAUUUUCCGAUUUUUAAAAUCAAGUCCAUCCAUAUUAUCAAAUUUUCAUCUAAAUUUCCCAAAUUUACAAUUUUAAUUCAAAUAUCCAGCGUUUCAUAAUGAGUUUAGAACACAAAAUAUAGCAACAGUUUAGAAGUUAGAAAAGUAGUAUAAAAUUAGUAAAUUUUUUGAUGUGAAGUUUGGGUUUGAAAAGGAAAAGUGGGCAUUUUGAUGUAAAGUUAGGGUUCGAAAAGAAAAAAGUGGGUAUUUUCUGUUUUGGCACAAAGUUUUAGUUGGUGACUUUUGAAUAAAAUAAAAUAUUUAGCAAUUGAAUUCGAAAACAUUUUGAAGAAUAAAUAAGAAUUUGAAAAUUAAAGAUAAAGAAUAAAAUCUAUCAAAUUCCAAAAUGGAAAAAAUAAGUUAAAACUCCAGUGAUGUAAAUUAAAAUUAAAGUUUGAUUAGUUUCCCUUAAUUAUAUUAAAAACGUAGUGGAAAUGAAUGUAUCCGUGGUCCAUUAAGAAAAAAGAAAAGGAUAGUCAACAGAAGAAAAUGUUGAGGAAGUUGCACGCGGCAAGGUGGGAGUGGGGAAAGCAUUAGGUUGAAAAUAUCUAGAGGAUUGGAUGCAAAAAGCGAAAAGUGCAUUGCCACGACGAUUAAAAGAACCAUGUUUCUGCCUGCGUGGAUAGAAAGUGCAUAAAAUAUCUAAUUUCAUGUGUCACGCGCCACACAUCUAAGAUAGAUAGAUACACCAAAAUAUCUCCCACAGUUAAAAAAGGGAAAAACAAAAUUCCAAGGCACAAACACGAUCGAAGACGAAUAUAUACCUUCAAACGAAAAUGAAAAAAAGGGAACACAUCUGGUCCCAACACAGAACAUAACAUUAUUAGUUUUAGGGAUAAAUUAUGUUAUCAAUAAACUUCAUCAACUAGAUUCCAUUUGAACCAAAAUAUCUUCAUAAACUUUUCUUUUUUGCUUUUAUAUGUCUUUUAAUAUUGCUAGAAUUUUUUUUUAUUUGUUGCAAGAGUAUUUAGCCUGAUAACAGUUAUUGAGCUUAAUGUGGAUUUUGACAUUUGUAAUAUUUCAUAUUAUUAUUGUAAGAGCAUCGAAAAAGGAUUUUCAAGCAUUUGUUGAACUUAUUCUUUCUUGUUUUUUAAUGUCUUCUCUCUUUUUAUCUUUCUUACAUGUUUCUUCCUUUUUUUUCAUACUGAACUCAGGCUAUAGGUUGUAUUUACUUACAAUUAAAAGUGGACUAACUUUUGUAUAAAUACUUUUCUAAAGAAUAUAUUUUUUCAUAAAUUAAAAUUAGUUUAUAUACCCAUUCAAAGAACGUUCUUAGGCUUUUAGCCGUGUUUGUUAAUUCAACCUUCAAACAACCUGUGAAUUUUUCUAAUGUAUCUAGAUUUUAUUUAUCCAGUUAACACUUUUUACUGUUCACAGUGGGAAUUCAAUAUUCAAAGAGCCAAAUUCCACGUCCCUUUUGCUUUUCUAGUUACAAGACCAAAUUCAUGUUAGAACAACAACUAUAUAAGGUAAAAAUCCAACUUCUCAAAGACCCAAUUCUGACAUGCCACGGUGCUACAAUCUUCCCCUCACCUGGCAUUAAAAAAACAAAAAAGAAAAAAAAAACGCAUAUUGAAAGUCAAAAUUCAGCUUCUCAGGAUCAAAUUUCAAUCAUAAAAGAUAUGUUUAUUUGGGGUGAUCGGAGAAGAAUGAUUGAAUGGAUUUGAAGAUAUUUGAAGGUAAUUUUUUUUGUUGUUUAUUUGAAUAAAUUUAGAAAUAAACGAAAGUGGAUUUUAAAGUAAAAUUUGUAAAAAAUGGUGUAGGAUUUAGUUUAUAUGACAGAUUAAAAAAAUUUAUUUCAAAAUCUACUUUCAUUUACCUCCAAAUUCAUUCAAAUAAAUAACAAAAAUUAUUCUCAAAUCCACUCAAUCACUCUUCCUCAAUCACCUGCAAGUGAACACACCCUAAAACGUGCUAAUUAGGAAGUUAAAUUUCCAGAGUCCAGCUGGAGAUUUUUUUUGAAAGAGUGUCAGUUAAGGGGAAAAAACACGAAUUUUUCACAUAUAUAGCUGACUUUGACUUUCUUUUUUUACCAAAAUAGUAUGUAUGUAGAUUUUAUUUACCACGAUAGCACACUUUUACUAUACUAGUUAGAAGAAAACCAAAUUCUGAACAUGAUUUUAGAUUAGCAUACAUUUUUUAGAGAAACACUAAACAUGUUCAGAAUUUAGUUUCGGGAACUAAAUUUUGAACUAGCACAGUAAAAAUGUGUUAUCUUGAUAAAUAAAACCAUCACCUGUCAUAAGAAUGCUAUUUUGGUGAAAAGUGUGCUGUGAGAAAUUCAAAAAAUCACACCCGAGCAACUUAGUACACUAUAGGCACAACCCGUGAUCAGUAUUAUGGUACAGAUAAUUUGACUAUGACUCACUGGCACACAACAUAGCCACAAGGUGGUCAGUAAAUUCAUUUCUACGUUUAUGUAUCCGUAAUUGGAGAUUACAAGGCAUUACAUUUCAAGUCUACAUUAACACAAAAAACUGACAUUUUUUAUACAUAUUCAGAACAGCAUAACAUUGGGACAAACAGAUGCUUACAAGGUUUAAAGCAAAGCAACUAUUCAGUGGAUUUUCUCUUUUUUCCCAGAACAGAAGCUAUCUGAAAUCUGGGCCCUCCCAUUCGCCACUUUUUGAAGGAUGCCAUUUCGGAUUGAGCUGUCUCAUACACUACAUGAAGGAUUAGAAUAAAAAUUAAAACGAAUGUCUCAAGAGGAAAAGAGAUGUGAUCACACAUGUUUCAUUUAGAAAGGAUAGCACGUCUCACAGUUGAUCUCUUCUUUUGUCAGAAUAGACCAAAAUUUGGAACCAGCAGCAAAUGCUACAGAAUGGGCCUUCGUGAGAAUUUCCUUGUACCUACUCUUAAAAGCAGACAACAACAGAAACCCAAUGGUUCGGUCGCCAACUCUGCCAUAAAUGAAAAAUAAAUCAGGAAGGUACGCAAAACAUGUUGCCAAUGUUGAGAAAAAUGGUUCAGGGAAUUUGUAGUCGGAAGGUAAAUUUGUGGAUUCUCCCUCAAAAAUUAAGACCAUAUAUUAUGUUAUAUCUCCUGUUUGAUUAAUGUGUUACUACGAAUCAAGGGCUGAGAUGUUGCUGGACGAAAUCCAGUUUUUGAACAUUUGGCUAUCUUUCAUUUAUUAGGUUGACAGAACUCAUGACGAAAUUUAUGAUAAUAAAUGUUUGAAUGAGAUGCUGCAUGAACCAUGUAAUACAAGAAAGUUUCUGACAGCCACAUACUAUCUUCAGAGACAGCAAUAAAAUAUUUAAUCAACAAAGUAUAAGAAAACCGUAAAAUGAGUCAGUAAAGUUUAAAGAAAAAGAGAAAUAAAAAGCUAUUUCAUACAAGCAAGAAAAUACAAGCAUAAGCAAGACUUACACGGGUGCUAUCUUGCAACCAAACUCAUAAAAGAAUGGACAUCUGGACCUCAGAUCCACACCGGCCGAAUCAGCUUGGAUCUCUAGCCUUGUUCUGAAGUUAAGAAUCAUAUUCUAUAAGAUAAAAAAAUGUGACACUUUCAAGACAUCAAAAAUUACUGAUUAUUGAAUUAUUGCAACUUAGCGUGCGUAAGCCAAUAUCCGUUUUUAAACUAUUACUUUGAAAGCCAUGUUUGAUUAUUGAAUUUGUUGUUACCCAACAACAUGCACUAAUUAUUAAAACCAACAACAAAAUUAAGGAUGAGAAAAAAAAAAUUGGUUCCAAAAUCCAUUUAAAACCAAUGAGGGAAGAUACUAACAGGAAAGGUCUGCCAAGAAAAUUCAGGCGCAACAGAAAUAGUAGUACACUUAAAAAGUCCUCUGAACUCGUCAGCGUCAUGAAAUGAUCCAUUAUAUGAUAAAAAGCACUCAUAAGUAGCAAAAAGACAAUAAAUAACCACUACGUUUUAUCAAAACAAGAGGGAAUGUUGACUGAUACUGCCUGUCUCAUCUGUAACUCAUGAGCAAGCCAAAAGGGCAAUUCAACUUUUGAACCAGUUUCAAUCUGAAAAUUAAACAAUGUAAUGUCAGGUCAAAUUACUAAGCUCCACAGAGCACAUAUCUAGUGCCACAACAAUAAUCUUUUUUCUUUUGGAAAUCUAAAGACGAGUGUCUUACAAAGUCCUUUUCAGAACUGGGAUCUAUUCCCACCCCAGAUGCAGUCUUCUGAAAUAUAACUGACACAGUCUGUGACCACAACAUAUCAAACCGUAGUAUUAGAAUAAGAAAUUCAGGUUGUAUUCUGUAUCUUAAUUGUAAAGACGAUGAAUUGAUAGUUGAUUCUGUUAAAGUUAGCAACAGCGUAAAACAUCAUGCGAUGUCAUUCCCUUGCAUAUCAAUUUACAGCACCUUUAAAAAAAACGAAGAAUCUGAAGCCUACCUCUUCCUCCAUAAUAAUAUCAUCGAUAUCAUAGUACUUAGUAUUCAUAUCCUCCUGCCUGCUGCUUCCGCACUUCACUUAACUCAUCGAAAGAGUGAACUGAAAAUUCAAAAUAGCGUUUGAAAUAUGCCAUACAUUAAAAAAAUAUUUCUUCUUCAACUAACAAUAAAAACAACAAAACCAAUCAGCACAGAAAACCCGAAUCCGUUGAUCAAAUGACAAAAUUUCAUUCAUUAGUAUUGAUGUUUUAUUAAAAUAAACUCAGUAUGAAACACGCCCACAGUAUCUGUUGUUGCACUUCCAUUUAAAAGAAAUUCAUAACCACGAAAUAUUGAAAUAUGCGUAUCAUACUGAUAGGGGGGAAUAAUAACUGUCAAAAAAUAGUAAAACAAUAGUCAAUAGUAUAGGAAACAGUGGAGAGGCGAAUCAAGCAAAGCAAAAAUCUAACUCCUAAUUGAAAGUGGAAAUUUGUUUCUACAAUUAGGACUUCAAUCUGAAGUGGUGGAACACAUUACUGUGAAAGACGAGAAAUUUGAGCAAGAAAAAAAUCCUUCUUUUCAAUUCGAGCAAUCAAUAUGAAACCAGCCCGAGACCCAGACCAGUUGCACAAGUCAAGGCCGAAAAUCUCACAAAACCAAAAAUCACGAUUCCUUAAAUAAUACUUCUUUUUUCAAUCACAUCAUUCGUCUUAUGCAACACUUGUCUUUCUUCAAGCUAUCCAUGAUUGCUUUAUUUUAUGAACUCAAUCUGAGAAAAAAAAAAAAGGACAGAACUGUUUGUGGUUGUUCACAGGGGACGAUCGCCCCAAUUACUAGAAAGCACAGUAACCAACAUGGAAAAAAAUCAAGUUUCAAAUUACCUCGUAUGCGCAUAUUUACUUGUACAAAAUUUUGGACCAUAGAGAUAAGAAGCAGCGAAUAAUAGAAUGUAGAAGAUUUGAAUCUUGGAUAAAUACUUGAACACAGUUUUAAUGAGAAUACUUUGGUUCGGUUACGCGUAACAUCUUAGAGAAGGAAAUGCACCUGAGCUAUGACGGAGUGAAUUGUGCCGCCGCAAGCUACUGACAGAGUGAGCAGCGACGAUAGCUACUGCGGAGUGCUGAUGGGGGUUACUGUGAUAGUGAGUUGGGGUAAGAAAUUGGAGAUCGAUUUAACAAAAUUAAAAUGAAAGAAUGAAGUGACGAAGUGAUUAAGAUGAAAGUAAAAAAGGAAAUGCGUUUGAUUUUGGGGAAGAAAACUAGGGUUUGUUUUUCUUGGAAUUUUUGUGAUUUUGAAUCUUGGCGCGUUUUCAACAUUUCAGUUUUAGUGAUGGCGCCUUCGAAAUUUGUAGUGUACAGAUUGGCCUCCUCUGGUGCAAAACUAUAUAAAAAUCCAUUUUUCGAUAUUUUUAUUUGAUAAUGAUUUUUUUUUUAUUUGAUGAUAAUGCUGCCUAAAGGAUAAAAUUAUUUCACAAGUGCAUAGCUUUAUUUUUACUUUUAUCAUAUUUGAUUUGAGAUUCUCCUAUUGGAUUAACCAUCUAAUCAAAUGGAAAUAUUAUAAAAUCAAAAUUAAAGUUAUGAAAAAAAAAAUUGAUAAUAGGGACUACAAAACUUUUCAGGGUAAUUUAUAAAAGUUAAAGAUCUAAUAAUUUUGUUGUACUUAUUAUUUCGAUUUUUCAAUUACAAAAUCGUCACUUAUUUUUAAUUAUUUUGAAGAAACAACUUUUCUUUUCAACGUGCUAUUUACAAUUUCUUUUGUAAAUAUUAAGGAAAUUAAAAAUAGGGUAACUAUUUUGUAAUUUAUAAUAAAUGUAAUCACAGGAGUAAAAUAAAUUAAACUUAUAACUAUUCAUUGUUUACAAAUAUUUUCAUUAUUUUUAGGAAGGUUAUGUUUAAAACUUAAUUUCUAUAUAUGAAAAAAUAUAUAUUACUUAUUAGUACGUUUUAUUCAUUUUUAUUACUUUAGCUCGCCAGUAAUGUAUUUGCAACGUUGGAAGCUUUAUGUUUUUAAUUUAAUUUAAAUAAGUUUUUUAUUAUUGUAAGCUUUUUUUCUUUUUAUUCCCUGGUAUUUUUUAUUUAUGUAAUUAAUUUAUUUCAUUUGAUUUUUUAGUGAAAUCAAAUAUUAAAAUUAAGUGUUCAAAAUGUUUGACUUUAAAAUACUUAAACUUGUUUGAUAAAGAAAUAUACCUUUAAAUGUAAGGAAAUUUACCUUUUUUUUCACUUAAUUGAAAUGUUUUUUGUUAAAGCAUAAUUGCCUCAAAACCAACUUAAAUUCUCUUGAUUGAUAAUGCUUAAAGAAAAUUAUGAUAAAAUAACAAUUCAACUUUAAGCUUUAAUUUCACUUCAGUGAAAAUUAUAAUUUCAACUAUCAAUUUUAAUUUUGUUUGAAGUAGAAUAUUAAAUGACACAUUUAUACAACAAACCAAAAAAAAAUAGCUUUUAGUGUUGAAGGUUUAUCACUUUCAUUCUAACACAUCUAAUGAUUUAUGUAAUCUAAAAGUGACUUUUAUUUGGGUAAAAAUGUAGACACUUAAAAUUUAUUUUAUUUUUACUUAAGCAAAAAGUAUAUAUGAAAAUAUCUUCAACUCUUAAAUAGUGUUUAGAUUAAGGAGUGAACGUGAAAAGAUGAUUGUGGUGUUGUUUGGAUUGAGAGAUUUAAAGAUAUAGAUGAAGGGAUUUGAAAGAAAAAAUUUAUGAAAAUUUGUGAAUGAUGUAAUAAAUGCGAUAGAUUAAAAAAAACAUUUUAAUUGAUAAAAAUAAAUUAUUGACUAUUUGUCCUUAUGUUGAAAUUUGAUAUAAAUUUAAAUUUAAGUUGUGAAAAUUAUAUUAAAGUGAAAUUGAAAUUGUUAAUGACAAAAUAAAAUAAAAUUGCAAAAAUAAAAGAACGUCCUCCAAUUGUCGAGCUUGAUUUAAGUUCGUCAAAUUUAGUUUCAUUGGUCAAGUUUGACAAAGAGAAGAUGUCAAGCUCGGCAACAAAAGAGAAGUUAAUCAAACUUUGUAAACUCGAUUCAACUUGACAAGACAACAAACAAGUUCGACAAGCUCAGUUUCAAUGGUCAUAGUCGAUUCCAAUAACAAUGAAAUCAAUUCCACCACUUCCAAAAUCGAUUCUACCGCAUGUUGAACAUGAACAUAAUAGAUUCUAUCACGACACAACUGAUUCUACUAGACCAGAUCUGAGUAUACUACUUCAAUAAGACUACAUAGUCGAUUUCACCAAUUUCGUUCCUCUCUUAUUCCACCAUUGUAUUACCACCACCAAAAUUGAUUCUACCCCUUGUAGAACCGAUUCAAUCCCUCCGAUAAUUGAUUUAAUCCCUCUCCAAGAAUAUUACGUAUUUUUUUAAGUAAAAAAUAAAACAAAGGUGCUUUGGUCUUUUCAUUUAAAUGAGCGGUCCACCUUUUUUAGUCUUUGCAAUUUGCAUGGAUCACUCAUUCCCUCUCUCUCAUGUAGGUUAGCUUUCUCAAAUUCCCUUACAUGCAUUGAAACAAACGUUUAAAUAGUCGACAUAUGUAAACAAACACAUCAUUAAUUUUAAUUUUACUUGAACAACUAUAAUGUUACUUAAACAAAAGUAUCAAAUAACAUACAUGUGAAAUGUAACACCCCGACUUUUUCUAAUGUUGCGGGUUUGCAAAAACUUUUAAAAAUUUAACUCAGAUACUGUUGCGGAAUACGAAUUGUAUAAAAGCUUUUAUUUAUAACAGAAACUUCAGAAAUCAAAUGUAACUACAAAGUGUUCACAAAAUUUCAUUACAAAACAAAUAGUGUUGAAAUUCAAAUCCCAUAGUUCUCCCACGUAUCUCACCGCUCAAGUUCGCCUUAGUUACACCUGAAACAACUUCUACUCCCGUAAAAUACGAUCAUCGUAGGUGGAAACCACAACCACAAACAUGCAAGGGUGAGCUAACGUAAACAAGUCAUCAAAACAAUUCAAUAACAACUACACUAUCAGAAAUCAAAGUCACCCGCAUAUAAUCGUACAAUCAUUUCAUCAAAUAACCGAAUCACACCCAUAAAGUGUCACCCCCACCACUCUCUUACAGAGCUUCACCGGGCCAGUACACUUUACCAACUCUUACACCAUAACAUUUCCCACCACUCUCUAGAAGGCUUCACCGGCAAGUACACCACUUCCCACCACUCUCUUAGAGCUUCCCCGGGCAAGUAUAUGCUUUCCACCACCCUCUUGGGCUUCACCGGACAAGUAUACACCCCCCACCACUCUAUUCUCAGCGAGCUUCACCGGGCAAGUAUCAAUGCUACUUCCACCACACUUCCAAGAAAGCUUCACCGGGCAUCAUAAAUAUAACUCAGUUUUACGAGAAAUAAACAACACUAUAUUUACAUAACNAAGCUACAAACUCGUAUGUGAUAAACAUUCUCGAACAAUAAUAAAACCAUCCUUAAAAUAAUGAAAAGAAACUAAACCACUUGAAAUAAUAGCCACAUAUUAAACACACCAUUUUUCUAUUCCGUAACCAAAGUCGAGUCCAUAAAUUCUAUAUAUAUAUAUAUAUAUAUAUAUAUAUAUAUAUAUAUAUAUAUAUAUAUAUAUAUAAAAUAAUUAUUGAAGUGGAACCCACAACAUUAUUAUUAAUUUACUUUCAAUGAAGUUACUUACGAGAACCUACCAAGUACCCACACUUUAAUAUAUUAUAUUAUAUUAUUAUUAUUAAGUUACAUAACUCUCUGCUACUAAUUUAUAUACAUAUAAAUAUACAUACUAUCUUACGUAUAUCAUCUUCUACAUUUUUUUUUUCUCUCAUGUUGGAUAACCACGUAAAUCUCCCUGCAACUACUUUUUCUUUCAUUUUCUACUUAUAUUAACUUCUCACUAAUGCUCCUUUCAAAUUUAUUUUCUUUAAAACCUGUAACCCUUUUCCACCCAAAGUUUUCUUACUUCAAUCUCCAUUAAUUACUGAUGGCCCUACUAUCCUACCUACCAACAUUCUCCAAUAUAAAAUCUUAAUAAAUAAGUAUACCAUGCAUUUAACCUUUGUGUGAUUACAGUAACUCAAACAAUACAUAUCUCAUGUUGGUUAUACUCUUAAGGCCAAGCAACCCAUUUAUUUUCAAACAUUUACAUCACCCUACUCCAUCCUUUACGACAACCGCAAACUGCUAUUCCUAAAUUCCUCCUCACCGAAGCCCUACCAUUUUUCCCAUGCAAAUAUCACUCCCAAUAUCCUAAACCCAAUCUAACAUCUCUUUCUUCUUCUUUCUAAUCUAGAACAUAACUCUGAUUACAAAACCUUCCCAUGCAAAGCAAAAUCCGUGCCUUUCCAUUCCUUCCCUACAACGUCAAGAACCACCUUUCACAGUGCUAAAAAAAAUGUUGUGAGACCUACCACUUGUACUAACCAAUCAUCCUCCUAAUCUCAAUAACUCUAAAAAGAAUCACUCAUGCGUAAACCUUAUAUACCGCCACUUUUAUCACAAACAAUCACCCAUAUAUGAUCCCAUACGCAGCACAUAUAACAGAUACAUUAUGGAAAUCCCAGCCCGUCAACACAUUGCUCAAAACAUACAAUUCAACCACAAUAAAUUUCGGAUUGCUCCCCUUACCUUUUUGGGUUCAAACCUCCAACGUUUCCAACUUCAAAGUUACGUAGCGAGAAGCUUUUCCCUCGUGACAGUGCUUCUUCUUCUUGUGGCAGCGUCUCUCCCUCUUCUCAAAUGCUCUAAGAUUUUGUAUAGAUGGGUACCAAGGUUUUCAAUUUCCUUCUCCUGUAUCUAACGUGUCUUUCUUCCAAUUCUAACCUAACCACCCUUAACUCCCUCAUAAUUGGGCCAAACAUUUGGACUCUAACUUUUAUUAACAUACCCAACCGGUGUUAGUUACCUUAUUAAACUCCUCCACUAACUAAUAUUUCUCACUUUAAAACCUAAAAAUAUAAGACCUAAAAAUGUAAAACCUAAUAAGUUCUCUUAAUAAGUAUAAGGUGGAAACUCUUAUCUUCCUAAAACACUCACUGUAACCAUAUUUAAAUCAGGUUUCUCUUCCUAAACUUUUCUCUCUCUCCGUUUAAUUCUCCCAAUCACACCUCUUCUCUCUCUUUCGUGUGGGUCCCGCAUUCCCAAUGCCAAUAAAAGAAAAUCAAGCAUCAAAACUCUACCAAGGUUUGAACUCAAAACCUUACAACACACCCAUAUAAGAAACCAAGAAACAACCACUAGGUCAAUUCAAUUUCACUUCUAUAUCAUUGCAAAUACUAAUCUUUAAUAUAUCUCACACAUUUAACAAAAUCAAUUUAAACCAUUAUAAAUAAUUUUCAUCUACUUCUUCAACACUUUUAACCCAAAAGAAAAAAAAAAACAAUCAUAAUGAAUUAUCUUCCCAUAAUAAAAAAAUAUAUUAUAUUUUUAUUUUCUACGGAUCUUACAUGAAACAUACCCAAAAUAGUUUUAGAAAAUCGUCAUUUUCUUUCUAACAUGUCAAACAUUCUUAACAAAUUAAAAAUGAUUAGAUAUAUAUUUAAUUGUUAUACUUUACUCAUUUUAACUCAAUUUGAACUAUUCAAACUCUUAUAACAUUUAUUCACACUAUAUUUUAAAAUCAAUACCCAUUGGAAAACCAUAUAAUCUUUUUUUCAUUUAACCAAUAUUCCUACAAUGCUAAUUAGUUUAAACGAUUCCAAACUAAUUAUCUAUAACUCUCAGAGUUCAAAAUUUCACCCUUUUUAACUCAAAACAAUAUUCAUACUUCAACACAUAAUGUUGGAAGUCCCACAUCUAUUAUAGAUAAGACCAAUUUAUAAUAUAUUUGUGGGGGUUGAGUUAGACCUAAAAUCCACUUCUAACACAUAACACUAUUCGUUACAAAAUACAAUCAAUAAUAUAUUGUUUCUCUAAUCAAUUCUCAUAUUUCCAUCUACCGUCUUUCAUUAUCCAUUCACAUAAACUUAACCUAUUACACUAAUAAAAAGGUAAAUUAGAUGUCUUGGUCGACACUUUUUAUUUAAAACAAGUUUGCACUAUAUGCUUACGUUAUUGGGUACAAUACAUCACACAAGAAUACAAUAAAAAAAACAUAUGAUGAACAACAACAAGCAAUACUAAAUAAAAGUAAACAUGGAAACAAAAUUCAAAAGAUAAGACACAAUAAGUUUUCCUACUAUUUAUCGAUACCAACAGAGUUGUGCUAUUGAAUAUGGAAAUCAAAUAUACCCAACCGAAGCAAAAGCAACAGUAGCAUAAUCCCAAAGUGAAAAAAUCAAGCAUUAUAACUAGUAUACUAAAGAUAUUCACAACUAAACUAAAAUCUACUUCAAAUUCAUCAUCAAAAGUCCAUUCAAGAUAAUUUGACUUUAUUCUGAAAAAUAUAACUAAAUCAAAACUCAAUGACUCUUAUUUUUAAAACAAGAAAUUUAAACCUUAUUUAAAAUCUUACAUGAACUAAAUAUAAGAUCAAAUUAUAAUACAUAGAUAAAGCAAAUUUUAUCUUACAAAAUUAAUUUAAUUAAAAUAAAACUCAUUAUCUUAAUAUGAAAUCACAAUCAUAAAAAUUUAUUUUGGUUGAGAUUCAACUCUAUCGUGUCUCUGGUUGUUAUGUCUCUUCCAUUAUCAUUCUCAAUCUUCUUAACAUGAUUUUACGAUUAUUUCAACACGAAAAAUAUAUUAAAAAAACUCUACAUUAAUUAAAAAUACAACUAAAUUAUAAUAUUUUAUAUAUAUAUAUAUAUAUAUAUACACACACACAUGACUAAAAUAAAUAUUAAUUUGCCUGUCAUUUUCCAGAUGCAAUCAUCUACCUCUAAGUGUGCAAAUAAUAAAAAGAAAUAGAAAGGCAAACUUAUUCUAAAUAAAAUGUUGAGUGAAUAAAUUAUAUUUCAAUCUCUGUUAGCACCUCUGCAAAAGCAAUUAAGAAAAACCGAUCUUGGAUUAUUUUUGUACUUUUUUUUUUCACUUCUUUUUGUUUAAUUACCCCUUUCUCUUUCCUUAUAUAUUUUUUUUCAUAAAUUUUCUUACCCCUUCCAUUCGUUCUCUUUGAUAUCUUUUCAUCCUCAACUCUUUCUUUUUCAAUUUUUUUUCACUAGUUUGUUUGAUAUAUAAUUUGUCAUUAGAAUAUAAUAAGCUACAUCAAUUAGAAAUAUAAAGGCACAUGAAUAUGACAGAAUUGCUUAGCAUUUCAAUAACUGAUUUCUCAAAAUUUAUGAAUGAAAAAUUAGAAUUGCUAUUGAAAAUAUUAUUUACCCUAAUCAAAUUCAGGUCUUUUAGACAUUCUACACACACAUAUAUAGAAUAUGUAUUCAUAUAAUUUGAUUAUACAUAAGUUUUUGUGUAAAUUUCUUUAUCUUUAUACAAGAAAGUUAAUUUAUGAUUUUCUUUUAUCUUUUUUUUUUUUAAUUUUUUCAUUGUUUUAUAUGAUUUUUUUAUUUAUUUAUUGGUUGUUUAUCUUUUAUUGUUUUUCUCCACCUAAAGAAGCAAUUAAAAAAAUAGACAGAUGGAAUAGGAUAUUAUCAUUGGUGAGAACAGAGAGACAGACUGAUGAUGACAGCAGAAACUUGACGAGGAAGACAACAAUGAAUUUCACUAUGAUCAAGUUGGUAUGGAUACAAAGGUCUAGACCAAGCUAUUUAUGGAAGGCAUUUGUAGCCCCUCCAUGUGUGCAACAGUCAUCACCAUUUCCAAAUGGUGCAGUCUCUGUAUGGUUGUAUGGUGGUGACAUAUGACUUAUGCUCAAUUUUUUCAAGCACUUGUCUUGCCUGCUACUCAAACAACUUAAAUCACAUUCAACAAAACAAAAACUAAUGUUAUUUUACUUUGACAGAUAUGAUUGUUUUUAAAAAAUAUAUAUUUAUGAUUAAAUAUUUUCACAGAUGUCUACUAUAUUUUUAACACUUAUUACAUGUUAAACUCAAAUUUCAGAAAUAUUUGUGCAAUACAUCAAAAGUUAUAGUUAUUGUAAAAGUUGCAUUCAAUUUUUCUUAUGAUUAAAUAUAAGUGGCUACAUUUUCCCUUCCCACAUAUAAACUUGUCUUCAACUGAACCAUCAUGAAAUAACAGAUUAUCUAAAAUAUAGGACAAUACUAUCACCAAAUAGUCAAUCAAGAUGUCUAAUACAAAAUUUAAAUUAUAUAGGAAUCUGCUAAAUACUGUAGGAUUUGACAGACAGGUUGACUCUGAAUAGAGGUAAGAGCAAAUAGAUAUUAUUAAAGUCAAUAAGCGAACAACCUAAUCCCACUGAGUCUCUCUGUAAAAAGUCCACUCAGAAUCCAAUGUAGUUCCCAGUCAGCCUCCUUAAGCACGCUCAGUAUAUCUUUCACCACUAUUUUGCUUCCCUCAGCUGCUCAAUGGAUACCAUCACUGCAAAAUUCAUUGAAAGAGAUGAGAAUAAGCAACAAUUUCAAGCAUAAGGAGAUAAAAAGAAGAAUCGUAUGAACUUUGGUUUUAGCAUCUGGUGUGACUUUAUUGUUAACUCUAUUUUAGAUUUUUCUAAAACUGAAUAUGGAGUGCAUAUGAAAAAAUCCACGUGCUCCUUAGAUGUAUGUGAAUCAAUUUAGUGCCUCAGGUCGUGGAAAUUAAGACAGAAAUCAUCCUUGUACGCACAAAAGGCAGGAUUUAGGGACUAAUUUGACGUCAUUUUUCUUUUAAUGAGUAUCUAAAUUGAUGUCAAUUUAUUUAGAGGACAUGUAAUCUCCAACUUCCCAUAACUACAUAUUAAUAUCACUUAUUUAUUAAGAUCAAAAGCCAAAUCAAUGUCAUACUAAUCUUUCAAGCAUCAAUGGUUUAAAUUUAAUGGACAUGAAAACCCAGUGAAUUGAAGAUAAAUGCAAGUUUAAAUUAACCAACAGAUAGCAUCAGUCAACAUGCCUCUGAUGGAAGAUUGCAGGAAUCAUCUUGAAAAGAAAGCAAGAUACUGGCAAAGAGCAACUAAAGGAUUUGGGUAUUAAACAAUUACAUUUCAAUAUGACACCAUUCUGAAAUCUCAUAAUAUUUUAGAAAAAUAAAAGAUAAGUCGUAGAGGUAAUGAAACUUACGUAAAACAAGCAUUCCUCCAGUCAUCUCUCUUCUGUAAUGCAUUAUUAAAAAGAUCAACAACUUUGACAUCCAGUUCCUUGCAUAGCUUAAUACAAGCUUCUGAGUAGCUUUGGCACAAUUCAUUCGUUCUUACCAGCUCACUAAGAACUCCACUGAUUAAGAAAUGGAAAUAAAAAGAUAAGAUUGGAACUUGGUAAUUAUCUGAAUAAGUACACUACAGAAUUGAAAAUGUGAAAGAAAAUAUCUUCAGGCUACCUAGUGUUUCCACGCACUUUUUCGUCUUAAUAAGCAGCCCAUUUGAAAGGGUGGUCAUUAUUAUCCACAGACUAUAUUUUCUUGACACCUUUUCGUCUUAAUUCUGCAAUCGGCGUUCUCAAGCAAACUAAAUUUCAUAACUGAAUACAAAUGCAUAGUUGAUUUGUGUUAAUUUUAUGUUAUGAGAAACAUUGGAGAAACAGCGUUAGAAAAUCAAGGAUAGGCAAGAUAUAAGACAAUCUGAUGAUGGCUGGUUUUCUUAUCUGCAUUACAUUAUGUUUGUCUCCUUCAAUAUAUCAAUUUAUUUCCCAAACCUUCACAUUUUAAAGAAAUGGUGUAGCCUUCAUAUUGAGAAAAUCAAGAUUGUAGAGCUCUGUGUCUUGAAGUGAGCACAUCAGUUUCUACUGAAAGGCAGUGUGCACUUAUGAAAAAAGAACCAAAUGAUUAACAUAGCUGCAGAAGUACCUGAAUAUGAAUCAGAAUCUUUCUCAUGUUUUCAAUAUAUUCGUGAAGAGGAACAUGAGGGCCCAUGGAAUCAUUAACUCUGAAAUAAACUAUCACAAGAGAAGGCUGGGUUGCAACAUCCUGGGAAGUCCGAUAAAUCAAAUUAUAUAACGUAGGAAGGAUGAUAGGCUACAUCAAAGGAAUUAUUCAAGAAUGAAUUGAGAGAGCAUAAAGUUAGCAACAUAUCCCAGAUGGAAAUCACAUUAAGAACCAGAAAAGCAUCAUGCAUUAUUUCAAGAAACUGUGUUCUUUGACCCAUACACCAUUUUAGACUAAAGCAUAAGGCAAUCAAACAUCAGAUAAAGUUUACACAAUACGCAUAAUUUUGAUUGAGUUUUGUCAUGUGAAUGUUAGGUAAAAUACCUUUGGUAAAACUUGAUCCAGCACUUGGAGGGCACGUCGAGAGUUCCAUCCGUAGUAUCCUCGCAACAAUAUGUCAGCCUACACAAAAAAAAUAAAAUUGUAUCAUCAUAGUCUAAAAAUGACCAUUCUCAAUAGUUCAUUAGUGAAGGAAAAAAAAAAAAAAAAGGUACUUAAUAUGGUCACACUCCAAAGAAGAGAGUGCAUACUUAUAUCUCUUAUUUACACACACUAAUGAAAUAUAAAUGUCUGGAUACAUUAAUUCUUACCCACCCACCGCCACGACUACCACUAUCUUUUCUUUACUUUUCUUUGAUUUCAUUAAUUCAUGGAUUCCCCUUCUGAGAAGGCGAAUGGGAACAUAAAGACAAAGCCAGAAGGAUAAGGACAAAAUUGUCCAUCACAUAAAAGAAUCCAAAAGCAUUCAUUUUUCUCUUUGUCGUCUUCGAAAACCAUCAAAAGCAGGUGCACCCCCCUAACCUUAACCUUUACUUCACCUGCCCCAUUACCCCAUCCCUUCUCUUCCCACCAAAAUCCAACCCUCUCAAUUCCGUUACCGUCAUCUUCUCACCCCCAUUUAUUUAAUUAUUCUCCUUCUCUUUCUCCCCUUUCCUCCUCCUCCAUCAAGCGACUCACUUUCUGCCACCCACACACACAAACCACAAAACCCUCUUUUUCUUUCUUUUUCUUGCCGAUGAAGCGUCCACUUCUGUCCGCCACCUCCCACCAUGACGAGACCAAGAUGAAGAAGGCCAAGGCGGUGGUGAUAGAGGAUGGAGAUGAGGAGGGGGAUCACGUGGAGGGAUUAGGGUGUUUUGACGACAACCUGCUGUUCGAGGUUUUGAAGCACGUGGACGCGCGUACUCUAGCUAUGGCAGGGUGUGUGAACAAGCAGUGGCACAAGACGGCGCAGGACGAAAGGCUGUGGGAACUGAUCUGCACGAAGCAGUGGGCGAACACUGGAUGUGGGGAACAACAGCUACGAUCCGUAGUUCUCGCCCUCGGUGGCUUCCGUCGCCUUCACGCCCUUUAUCUCUUCCCUCUCUCCAAGCCUCAGACAUCUUCCUCAUCUUCAUCCUGCUCCUCCUCUCCCUGGGGCCCCACCAUCCCCCAGGUCAUUCGAUCAAAGCCCCUACGUUUGGGGAAGGACGAGGUUCACCUCUCUCUUUCCCUUCUCUCCAUUCGCUACUACGAGAAGAUGAAUUUCAAUAACCGAACCAGAUGAUUCCUUAUUAUUCUACUAUCCAUGAUCCAUAAUCCGUAAUCCAUUCUAUGUGUUUCCUUUUCUAAACCUAAUUUCGGCUUUCGACACUAUUUCAUUUGGUGCGAUUUUUAGAUUUCAGUUGCCAGAUCUGCUUUUAAUUCAGGCAAUUAGUCUAAGCUGGAUGUGUUUUGUAACCUGUAUGUAUGUACUUUGAUUUGAUUAAUAAUAUAAUAUAUAUGAAUAUUGGAAUGUAUUUGUAUCUCCAUGAUGAUGUUUUAAAUAUCUUGUUUUGGGGGUUGGAAGAAUAGAUUAGGGUGUGGAUCUGAGGGGAAAAGGGAGGAUUUGGGAGUUUAGGGGACAAGAAUUUGGGUGAGGUUGGGAGAAUUGCCGAAAGGAGCGGAAGGAUGAGUGAUUGGCGGUCCUGAUGGUGUUUUUUCCGAAUAGGCACAAGGAGACAGAGGCUGAGGUCUUCUUGUUCUGUAACAAAUGUCUGCUACUGCCUAUGUUUUCUGGCUCUUACUUCGGCCCAAUGGGUAAAGGACACACGAAUGAGUUUGCAUUUCUAUUGCCUCUGCAAAAGCCAAAUUUUUCUUGAGGGACGAUAUUUGUCGUUACGAGGAUCCCUAUUAUUUGUUUUUCCCACUGUAUUUUUUCAUGCUUUAGCAAUAUUGUAGUAUUAGAUCAGUGAACACGGACAAACACACUCUCUUGGACGAAUAUAUUGUUUUCUCCUCCGUUUUUAUCUAUUGUUCUUUUCAUGUUUUUAAGGGCGUUAACGUUACAUUGUUUACAAAAACUCUGGCAGUAAACAAGUGAAAUAGGAUUCUGGAGGAGUGCGAUGAGACAAUCUGGUCAACUAGAUAAUAAUACUAACAGGAACAACUAUGUAUGUUCCGUAUCCGAUACAGGUUAACAAAUUAUUUUCUUUACAGCUAAAAUUUCCAGUGGUAAUAAUGACCUUAUGGCGUUGGUUGUCAUUAAAAAAGCGCAACACAUGAUAUGAUGGAAAAACUGGGCAAGACUAAAAGGAAAUCUUGUUUAAUGUUGGGUCACACGAGGCAGAGGUGUCACCCUAAAUACUUUGAGAAGCAACCUGAAGCUCACCCAACAGCACGCGGGACUUUUUGCACUGACUUGUCGUCAAGAAAGACCCAACUAAUGACUUUAAUGGGAUGAAACCGUGGAAUUCAAACCUCCAACAACUUAGAGUUUGUGAUUACAAUUUAGAAAGAAACUAGUCUCUUGAGCCAUGCGUGCUUUGUUGAACAUCGAUUACUAUGGGUGUCGAAGCACAAGCCAGGCGGCUUAAAAAGGAGCUAUCUAAUUCUCAUGUGGAUAUGAAGGAAGCUAUCUAAUUCUCAACGGUAGGGAUUCACUCUUCCUUAACAGCGGGAAUUAGAACGAGUGGUAGGAGUUGUUUGUAAAACUUUUCAUUGACUGCUUGCAAUUAGACAUCGGUAGGAGUUCUUUGCAAAACUCUUCCUUGAACGCUUAGAAUUAGAGCGAUAGUUUUAUUGCUUCAUUCAUACACCUCGUUAAAACCUCAUUAACCAAAAUCCUCAAAGAAAAGUACUAGUGGUAGGAAAGAGUAUGUCG
rnacentral:lncRNA from 1 species